UGUCUUGACUGCUUCAAAGUUAUCAAUAUCAUCAGACACUUCAGCUCUGGAGAAGAGUAAGCAAACAGUAGCUGACUUUAUGGAUCGUCUCGUUCAGAAUACUGCGGAGCUACUACAACCUUGUACCAGUACUCCAGUCCCGAUUAUGAAUCAAAUGCUCAAAAUUGUUCAGGGGCUAAGAUUCCUGACAAUCCUUCUUGGUGAUCAGGAGAAGUUCAAAGAGCUAUGGCAUGAAAUGAAGAAUAUUAUUGGAGUUGUGGCCUGUGAUGCAGCGGUUGUAAUUUUCUCUCUUUCUGUGAAUCAAAUCGAAGAAGGCUUGGCCAAGGAAACCGAUCUUGCUCUUUUUCAUUUGCUCAAAGUGCUCAAGCUUAUCAGGGCAGAAUUUACACAGGUCUAUCCACUAACAUCAGUAUCGGGAUUUGGUUUUCCUAGGACCAAUGAAUUGGGCUCUAUUGAUUUUUUCCUAACAAAUCUGAAGGAACUGGCAAGGCAUGAUGAAAUUAAUGAUUCAAUCGCUUCCCCAGUGGAUAAAAUCCAGACAAUCCAGAAAGAUUUUGAAUUUUUAAGAUCUUUCUUGGAGAAAAUCAAGGAGCAGCGCAAUCAGAACGAAAAACUUCAAGUUUUCUGGAGUCAUGUUAUGGAGAUUGCAUAUAAAGCAGAGUUUGUGAUUGACUCGACACUUGUUGGUGAUAGACGUGAAUAUUGUUUGGAUGAUGUUGCCAGAGACAUCAAUGUUCUGAAGAUUGAGGCUCAAGAGAUCUAUGAUAGCAUAAGCUAUGUUGGUGAAACCACCAAGGGAGUUACCAAGACUUUCACUCGCGUGCCGUCACAAGUUACUGUCGCCACGUACAAUGAAGAUCUGGUGCCUCUCGACGACGAGGUGAAAACUAUCACUGAUAGUCUUACAAGAGGAGGAUCAAGGCAGUUGGAUGUUGUUUCCAUCGUGGGUAUGCCUGGGAUUGGUAAGACCACAUUAGCCAAUAUAGUUUACAAUUCUCCAUCAGUAAUGUUGCAUUUCAAUCUUCGUGCUUGGUGCACUGUUUCUCAAGCAUAUAGUAUGCACAACAUGUUAGUUCAGCUAUUGGGUAGUAUUGAUUCUGAGAAACUUGAACAAUAUGAAAAGAUGGAUGAAAAUGAUUUGGCUGUAAAGCUAAAACAGGUUUUGUUGAGAAAUAAGUAUCUCUUGGUUUUGGAUGAUUUGUGGGACACUAAGGCUUGGUAUUUGUUGGAGAGAUCAUUGCCCAAUGAUGCCAAUGGAAGCAGGAUUCUCAUCACGAGCAGAUUGCAGAAUUUGUCUCUGCAAUUCGAACCUAAUAGCAGGGUUCACCAUCUCCGCCGGCUUACCGACGAAGAGAGUUGGAAUUUGCUGCAAAAAAAGCUAUUUGGCAAAGAAGAUUGUCCUCCAAGACUAAGUGGAGUUGCAUCUCAAAUAGCAAAAUCUUGUAGGGGCUUACCUCUCACAAUUGUCCUUGUUGCUGGAAUUCUUGCUAGUACUGCAGAGGACUGCUGGGAAGAAGUUGCAAAGAGUCUAACUUCCAGUAUUGUCCUUGAUGAAGAAUACUGCAUGAAGACGCUUGAGCUGAGUUACAAUCAUUUACCGGAUGAUUUGAAGCCAUGUCUUCUUUACUUUGGUGCAUUUCAAGAAGAUAAAAAUGUUCCUGUCCGAAGGUUGUUAUGGCUCUGGAUCUCUGAAGGCUUCAUGCGAAAGACUGAAGAAAAGAGCUUAAAGGAUGUGGCAGAUGACUAUUUGAAGGAUCUGGUUGAUAGAAGUUUAGUCAUGGUUUCCGAACAAAGAACUAUGGGUGGUGCCAAAGCCUGUCGACUUCACGAUUUGGUACAUGAGUUUUGUGUGAAAAAAGCCAAAGAAGAAAACUUUCUACAUGUUUUGCAUAGUCAGAAUAGUCCUUUUGUUCUUACUAGCCCAAGCAACCUCCACCGAGUUUGUAAUCCAAUGAAUGGGGAGUUAAUGCUAGAAUUUCCCAAUGUACGCAGUUUGUUAUUGUUUAAGGGGGAUGAUUUGGGGUUUUGGUUACCUGAACUUCUAAGAGUGUUGGAUUUGGGGGAAUUGGAGUUUGUUGCACAUUUUCCAAUGGAAGUAUUUUCGCUUGCUCACUUGAGAUACUUGGCUCUUCGUACUAGAAAAGUAAAUUUCAUCCCAGCUGCAAUAGCUAACCUCUCAAGGUUACAAACUUUUCUGCUACGAGGAAACAAAGCUGAUUGUUUGUUACCCAAUACUAUCUGGAACAUUAAGACAUUGAGGCAUCUAUGGACUCCAGAUUCCACUUUGGGUUUUAUUUUUCCUGUUGAAAAUCUUGCAGUAUCCCCAGGUUUAGAUCAUUUAGACAGUUUAAGCCUUGCCAUUGAUCCCUCCUCUCAAAGCUUGCAAAAGAUACUGGCAAAGUUACCAAGCAUCCGCAGGCUAAGAUGUAAGGUGACGGAAUCAAGAGAAGAACCUGCGGGAAGUGGCGAUGGGAUUCUCUUGUUUGACUGUUUGAGUCAACUAGAAUCACUUACUCUGUGUUUCUGUCAUGGAUAUAGAUUUAAAUUCCCAUUGAAUUUGAAGAAGUUGACACUCCUAGCGACUGAUCCGCCAUGGAGUGAAAUCUCAACAAUUGGAAAGUUGCCCAAACUUGAAGUGCUUAAAUUACUCUCUUAUUAUUACAGCUCCCCUGGGGAAGAAUGGGAAAUGAAAGAAGAGGAGUUCCCUAAGCUCCGAGUCUUGAAAUUGUCACACUUGUGGAACUUUCGCAGCUGGACUGCAUCUUCUGAUAAUUUUCCCCGUCUUGAGAAAUUGGUUGUGCACGAUUGUGAGAAUUUGGAAGAGGUGCCUUCUUGUUUAGGGGAAUGUCUGACUCUUGAAAUGAUUGAGGUGAAACGAUGUCGCCAGUCUGUUGUAAGUUCAGUGAAGCAAAUUCAACAAGAACAGAGAGAUAUGGGAAAUGAGGUUCUAAAGAUCUUAAUUGAAGGUUGUGUUGAUGCGCCGAGUUCCAGCAAAGAAGAAGAAGAAUAGUCAAGUUCCUCAGAAACAGAGUCAAUCUCCUCACAAGGAGUCUAAUUCAAGUUUCUUGAAAGUAAUUUCUGGAGCUUCCUUUUUUUUUUUCCUUUUUGUUUGAGUUGAUGCAGCCAAUCUCAAUUCCUUUUCUUUUUUUUUUAAUUCUGCUACAGAUUGAUAUGAUGCUUAUAGUCAGCUAAGCACAAGUCUAUAUGCAAGAUACACUUUUCCUUCUUUGUAUUUCGGACAGAGUAGUACAGAAACUUUGUAAUUGCUUCUCUUUUUCCUCAACAAAGAACCAUACACUCGAUUAAUUAAUAUGUUAAAACAUCCUCUUUUUUUUUUGCAACAAAUAUUAAGAAGAGACAAGAAAAAAAAAACUUGGUUAUGUUACUUUUUACCUUUGGAAGUAUUGUAUAUUAAAGAAGUUACAUAUUAAAUGGGAAGGAGGGCUUAAAUUUAGAGGUGGCAAUAUGGAUAAAUGGUUCAUAAUUGGUUUUGACUUAAUGGAUGGUGGAUGAAAUUUAUCCAAUCCAUUUAGCAUCUUGGAAUCCAUAUGCAUGAACUUUACUUGUGAUGAGGCUUCCACAUCUGAUAUUAACUUUGGCAGCCUGAUCUUCUUGUGAAUUUCCAUUGCUGGAGGGCGUUUCCGGAGAAUUAAGCAAAUACGGAAAUAGGGAGAAUCAAAUAAAACCAUGUAAUGGGGAUGAAAACUACAACUUAAUGCUUGAAUCUAAUCCCUACUGACUGUUUUUAGGUGUAGUUCUACAGAUUGAUAAAACCAUAUAAUGCAAUCAAAACUUUUGGAUUAAAGAAAAAAUAAAGAUAGAAAAGAUGAAAAAUGGUAUUGAUUAAUUUUUUUUAUUUGUCGAUGUGUCUUGAUUGCUAAACUGAAAGCAUUAUAUGGAAAGAAAUUGGAAACGAAUGGAAUUUUAAGGGAGAAAGGAUCACUUGGUUAGUAAGAUAUAUUAAGGAUAGUAUUUAAUACAAAUUCAAUAACUUAAAAAGAGUUAACCACUUGGUUGGUCUAGUAGUUAGGGGAGAACUUUUAAAAUCUCUUCAAAAAAAUAAAAAGAAUUCGAAAUAGUUGUGGUUGUAAUGACAGAAAACAAAUUAAUUUACUGGAGAGCGGGAUUGGUUGGACGGUACAGGGGAAGCAACGUAAGUGAUAGGUCUCGGGUCUCGGGUUCGAGACCUCUCACUUACCAAAAAAAAAAAUGAUGAUAUAUUCAAUUAAAACUAUCUUAACAACUUCUAAUUGAUUGGUUAGCAUGAUAUUCUUAAAAAACCAACCUUGAAUUACGACUAUAAUUUAAGGUUAAUAUAGUAAAUUCACAAUAAAGGUUAAAAAAGUCAUUUUACACAAACUCCUACACUACACUACUGUUAUACAAGGUGCAAAUGAAAACUAAAGAAACAGGCAAUGAGGCAAACGUUAGAAGUUAGAACGUGACAACUCGAGGGACCAAAUUAGCAAUUGUACUUUAACCCCUAAGAAAUUAACCCAGAGCGAGAAUGUGACAUAGUAAAACCAUAUUUUUACUGUUAACUUUACCAUUUACCUUUUUGUUCAUAUGUUUACAUAAACCCUAAACCUUAAACCUCUCUUCUCAAACUCCAUUGCCUAAUUUCGGGUAAGUUGCCUUUCUAUAUCUUGAUUUACUUACCUUUUAUGCAGAUUUGUGGCUCACCUUCGUCAAUUUUUUUUCUUUUGUCUUUUUGGGGUAUUUUUUUAGGCAAAAAUUUAAAAUCUUAUUGUGGGUAUAAUAGAAUUGGAGGGAGAAAAGUUGAAUUUUUUUGCUAAAAUUGAUGACAAAAGUUGGUUUGUCUAGGAUUUGCCUUUAGCUGAACAAAACAUUAGCUUUGCUUAUGGUGGGAAAUCUAUCGAUUUUGUUGGCUCUUUUCUUGGGAUGUGCUUUUUUCGAUUUUAGGGUUCUUAAGUCUUGGGAAAAAUAAAGAUGCAAGUUCAUUUAUUUUCUCGUUAGUUUUAUUGUAUUUCGUGAGGCUUUAAAUUUUUGUAUUGACCCACUAUUUAUCUUUGAAAAAGAAAACAUAUUUUAAUUAUGUGUAACUUUUAAUAUUCAAUCAAACAGUACAUGAAUUAUAUUUUUAUGAUUUGUAUGAAUCAUAUUAUUUAUGGGUACUCAUCGACGACGAUGAUGAGUUUUUAUGUAUUAAUCCUAAAGUAGUAAUUCUAUUGUUAUUGCAAGAAUUGGAUAAAAUAUUGUACUUAGUGUUAUUAUUUUUUUAAGUUCAUAACUUUGCCAAUUACCUUUAAUAGAUUGCAUGCUCUAUUAUUUAACUUUAUCGUUAAUAAUUCUUUUAAAAACAAUUAAUGCACAAAAUUUGCUCCCCAACCCAAGUCCAAACAAACUCCGCUACGGAUAAGAAUCGUACAAAUGUUAUAUCUUUAAUGGGUCGAGUUUGGGCCAUAAAAUAAGAUUCUUCCCUUGUAUUGGCUGUAGGCCCGUCAAAGCCCAACUAGGACCAAAUUAAUGGUAAAUGAGCCGGGCUAGGCCACAAUAAACGGCACCUGACGGACUUAGGAUUACAUGUGGUAAGGUGAAAUUAUAAAUGGUAGUUGAGUAAAGAUAUCAUGAAACGAUUUACAACCUUAAUUUUUUUUAUUUUUAAUUUUUACGGAACAAGAAAAGAAAGGUCAUUUUCAAUCGAGAAUAAGUGAAGUAUCACUGUUGAUACUCUUAAAAAAAAGAAAAAAAAGAGUCAUCUUCAAUCAAAGCAAUAAUAAUUACUUCUAUCUUGUGCACAAUAUUAUGAAAUUGAUUAUCAAAGAAAAGGGAAGGGAUAAGGAAAAAUAGAGGUGCUGCAACAGAAAUUUGGCAUGUUAUUUCUUGUAUUCUCAUAUUUUUUUAGUCAAGUAUAUAAGUACAUUAUUGAAUGGGAAAAAAAAGUUGACAUAACAGAAAUUUGGUAGGUUGUUUCUUGUUAUUCUCAUAUUGUUUUAGUCAAGUAUAUAAGUACAUUAUUAGAAGAAAGGACAAAUUGGGCAAGAUGUUCGGAAAACUUUAGAGUUUUUUUUUUUUUUAAAUUGUUGGCAAUCCCGUUACAGGGUUGGGAUGCAAAUCCAUUAUUUUAUUAAUAGCAAAAUAAUUUUACAAAGCUCGAGGGGUGCCAAAUCUGACCUCAGAAUAACAAAUAAAAUAAUAAAUAAGAAGUACUACUCUCUUACAAUUUGUGAGCAUACAUGUGGAUCUACCCUUCAGUCUAAAUGUAGGGAUGACCUAAUAAUAGAAGCAAGUUGUUGUAUAAAAUUGAAUUGAACAUCUGAUUGAAGGAAGCUGUUAUAAAUGAUAAACUUUAGAGGCUUGAAGUUGGAUUACUAAUUCAAGUAUUUAAGUACGUUAUUGAAAGAAGGUACAUUGCGAACGUAAUUCAAAUGCUACUAUGGCAUUGCUAUUCAAAUAGUCCCAAAAAAAAAAAAGAUAAUUGCUUAGAUGUUGGUAUUAACAAAAUUAUUUUUAGAUAUUUAGAAUCCAGAUUUACCCAAAGUUGAUGAAUACAUAAUGGUAAGUCACUCGAUGCAAACAGAUUAAAGUUACUUCCAUGAUGCUUAUCAAAUUCACCAAAAUUAGUUACUGUUAUCAGCAUCACUAAUUAUUUUGUAGUAUUAGCAAGUCCAAUUCAAACUUUGCGGGACACCCCUAAAAAAAAAAUCCAAUUCAAACCUUAGAGAAUGAUUAAUUAAUGAAAAUCCUAAUUUAAACCAAAAGAUGGGGGUUGUAUUGAAAAUCUAAAAUUAUAACAAAGAACAAAAAUUGAAGAUUAAAAAACUACAACUACCAAAAAUUCCGAUUCAAGAUGAAAUCUGUUCUUCAAUUCGUCAACUAGUCAUAGACACCAAAAUCACUAUUUUGCAUCAACAAAUUGGCCAAAAAUUACUUACGGAUGAAGUAAAUCAUAAUCUUCCUUGUGUUCAUUAAUUGAAACCCAACGCCUGAAUUAAAUUCUUGUUAUCAAUCCUAAUCAAAUUGAUAGUAUCACUAAGUCAGGAAGAAGCUGAAGUUGAAUGACAAUUUGACCAGUUAAAUCAUUUGAUUCAUGCUAGUAUAUUAAAACAAACAAAACUGAAAAGAGCUUAAAAAGCAGGGAUGCAUGCAGGAUUCUAGUUUAAGGGGGACGCACAGUCAAGUAGGGAACCCAAAAAAAAUCAUGAAAAAUGAAAGUUCAAUAGACGAUGAUUAACAAAAAAAAAAUUUAAUUAAAAGAAAUGUGUAUAAAGCACUAUACUUCUCUCAAUAUAUGUGAUCAAUGAUGGGCAAGAAAUUCAUCAUUGAUCUUAAUGUUUAAUUAGUUAUAAUUAACUUAUAACUGGAGAAAGUGUAAGGGAGAAAAAAUUGGACUGGCCUUUAAAAACGGUGGAUAUUUGAAAUGAGUUGAAAAAGUUAAAAUUCUUGCCAUGAUUGAAUUUUCAUUUAUUUGUCAUUUUUUGUUUCUAUUUGUAUAAUUUUUUCUAACAUUAACUAAUAAAAAGAAACUAAGAGUUUGUUUGUUUUAGAAAACUUACAUAAAAAGGUAAUGUUUCUUAAGGUAAAUAUUUGAUAGGUAUCGUGUAUUAACAAUAAAGUCUUGAUAAGGGUAUAGUAUAUGGAAACUAGAUUUGGUUUAUUACAGGACACUUUAAACAUACAUAAUGAAACUAGAGUUAAUCUUUUGUCGGACACUUUUAAAAAAGAAAUCAAAGGAAAUAACCUGACAAGUCAUCAUGUCGACACCAAUAACAACCCCAAAUUUGUGUUUACAGCAAUGAAAUUCCUGAGCAAGAAGGAAAUUCCGUGGUGUCUGCUGAUCUUGUCUCUAGCCUUUUUUUUCCUAUUUCACUUACACUCUAUUCACACACCAAUGUAUCUUGGCUUUUUGACUCCUUUUUUCCCCUAGGUUUGAAAAUGGGAGAUUAAAAAGUACUUCUUGUUUCUUUAUUUCGUUAUUGCAUUUACGAUUGGUGACUUAUUUUAGUAUUACGUUUGAAUUGGUGACUUAUGGCGUUUGCCUCAUUUUAAAAAAGGCACAUUGAAAUUGGUUUCAGGUACACGGUACUAUAGUGGAAAUAGGAAUGUGUGAAUAUCCAACCUCUGCAUUGUAUUUUUGCUAUAAAAAAGAAUCAUUUUUCCUUCAUUGAUUAGCUAUAUGCACUUUAAUAAAUAGUAAUGUGCAAUUCAAUGAAAAUUAAUGUGUACUUCGAGGAACACAAGGAUGAAAUGAAAAAUUGUUAAAAGGUAUUGAUGUGAGGAAAAUGAGACCUCACAGCAUUCAAAAUUUUAAUGCAACACACAUCUAAUUGGCUUACUCGACUUUACUUUGGAGCCAAAUAAACAUUUCUUCGCAUGCAUGCAUGUGUGUAUGCAUGGGUACAUUUUGUACAAGUACUCUUCAUACAGUUUUUUAUUAAUUUGUAUUAGUUAUUAAAAAAAUUUUCAUAAAUGGUGUCAUAGAGAAGAUAGUAUGUGACAAAUUGAAUUUGUCCAAACUUAUUUAUUAAAAGAGAAUUAUAUUUCCUUCAUUUAUUAGUAAUCAAGGGUGAAAUAAAGAAAUUACUAAAAGGUUUUCAUGUAAAGACAAUGAGAUAUUGCGAUAUUACAAUUUUUUUAAUAGCACAACUAAUUGACAAACACGACUUCAAUUUGAGGCCAAAAACAAUUUUCCUAUACAAAUGUGGUACUUUACGUACAAGUUAGGGUACUUUUUAUCAAAGCAUAAAUACUUUUUUAUAGUUGUUAAUUAAUUUAUAUUGGUGAUUAAAUAAUUUGAGGCCAACUAAUAGAGAAAUAGAGAAAUCACUAAAAGCUUUUUAUGUAAGGAUGAUGAAACUUCACAUCGUUGCAAUUUUUUCUUGUAGCACAACCAAUUGAAUAACUCAACUUCAAUUUGAGGCCAAAUAAACACUUUUCCUAUACAAAGUGAGGUAUUUUACGUACAAGUUAGGGUCCUUUUUUAUAUAAGUACUUUUCUCUCUAUUGUUAAUUUUUAACUAAUGAUCAAAUAAAAUUCAAGUUCAUGGCUGAUUAUUAGCUCCUAACUAUAUAUUUUUCAAAUAAUAAAUUUGCAAGAAACAAAGCUCAUAAUGAUUAAGCUCAUGUAAGUUUGUUGGCAUGAAAAAUCACGCACAACGGAAGCAAUUUUACUACAUAUGAAAUAUAUAGAAAGAGGAGGAGAAUAAAUACACAACUACAACUCAAUAAUUUAUUAACCUAAUAGUCAACAAUAACAAUACCAAAUCGAAACUUUUUGCUCAAGACAACUCACAAAUCUGAGGUUUUUUCUCAAAUCUACUCUCAAGACUCAAUUCAUCUAUUUAAAACUAUACUUUCUCAACUCUUUUCAAGAAAACAAUGCUGCAUGCUUCGCAAUUUAUAGAGGCAUCCUACCGACUCAAAUUUUCAAAGGAAAAGGAAACUUGCUAAACUAAUUACUACCAGGACUAGUAUUACUAAGGUUUAACCGACUAGGACAUGCAAAAGGAAAUCAACUAGGACUCCAACCGACUAAAAACAAAUAGAAAAAUUCCUUGAAGAUAUUUAGUCUGCUAACACCAAUCAAGAUUGGAACUUCGAAGCAAUCCUAUGCGGGUUUAACUUCGAAGUAAUUUGGUAAUAUAAUUAAGUUUGGUUUAAUUUUCUUCAAAGUUGCUAUUAUAAAUCGGAUCAUAAGUAGCAGUAAGAGGAAUGUUGUCGACAUUCCCAUGCAAGUUGAAGUAGCUUACUCUAUUUUUCAUUGAAGUACACAUUUAUGUUCAUUAGAGUGCACAUAUUGUCCAAUUUUGGCCAUAUUGAAAUAUGCUUCCCUGCCGCUCAGAAUUUGCACAUCUUCAACAAAAUUCAGCCCUUAUCAAAAAAUCAAGAAAAAAAAAUUGCUAUAACUAGAACUUGCUUAUGAAAGCAACCCACACCAAUUAAAAGAUUACAACUACUGAUAUUUGAAUGAGAACAAAUUCCUAGGUAAAAGAAACAGAAUUUCCUGUGUUUGUCUGGAAAGCAGUCUUGAGUUCUGCUAGAACUUAAGUUUCCAUUUAGGAAAGUUCAAAAAUUGGAUAAUUUUGUACAACAAUUAUUGACCUCUUUAAUUCCCUUGUAAGUACUUCUAGUGUAUCACCAAUUUUUCCAGAAAUGGACGACAGGGUUGUGAUAUCAAACUUGGGCAAUAGAUAAUUGUCAAUUUGGUGAGAGAUAAUAAGUAUUGACUGAUUUUCUCCCUUAUCUAGUUCUUGGGAAAAUCAAGGCCUUGUUUGCUUUGUAAUUUUUCAUAAAAAAUACUUUUAUUUUUUGUGAAUAUAUUUUCCAAUCAUUUUUUUAUAUUACAUAUAUCAAAUCGACACAAUAUAUAUUUUUUUUAUAAAAAUUCCAAAAAUAGCAAUGCAAAUGAACCUUAGAUUUUUAAGGAAUGUAAGAUGGAAGAGUUGAUGGUGGUGGUAGGUUAAAGGCUGGUCACUGAGGGAAAUGGAGAUGGAAUCCACAAUUAGAUAGAAGUUCAGCGAGUUUUUGCACCUGGACAUUUUGGUAAUUUAAGCCAAAUCUUAUUACAUUUAAUAUUGGUUGAAUAGUUGCACUCCAUUUUUGAAUCUCAUACCCACUUUAUGAACUUUUGAAAAGCUGAGUAUUGAUUCUUCCGGCUUCCAUAUCCGAAAUUCUUCCAAAUAUUUAAGAUGAUGGGCAACAUUUUUUUAAGGGGUGUUUUAUUUCUUCAGUUUUUAUGUUUUCAGCUGGAAAAUUCAAUGUUGGGAUAGAAUCUUAUAUUUAGUCACGUUGUUUUUUCAUAAAAUUUUUUUAUAAUAAUUAUUAGUUUACUAAGCAAGCUCUUGUUGCAAAGAUGAUUUUAGCAAUUCAGCCUUGAUGAUCUCUUGUUGCAAAGAUGAUUUUAGCUAAUUCAGCCUUGAUGAUGGCUUUUAUGCUAUCUAACUGUCAUAGUUUUUUCUGCCCUCCACUGUUAGUUUAAAAGGAUAAGCAAUUCCUUUUGACAAGAGAAUUACACUUAACAGUUUAUUUUAUUGCUAAGUUGGCAGGAUUUGUCUGGUGAGUUCAUGUUUAAUUUUUUAAGAAAUGUUACGUGAAUAAUCGUAGUCGCAAUGGGUACAUUUUAUCGGAGUUAUAUGUCUUGAUUUUUAGGUGUUCUUAAACUCCUAGUUAAGUUGGUGUUCACAAGGAUAACAAUGGUAUUCAUGAAAAAAUACUUUAAAAUAGUAGUGUAAGCAAGUUUGAAUAUGGUGUUUACAUGUUAAAUUUUAUGGACCAUUGAGGCCUUGAUAAUGAAUCCCUUGAAGACCGAUGCAAGGUAAUAUGCUAUGUGUCUUUAUUAAAAAUGAAAGUUCAAAAAUAGACAUGAAACAAUCCACAAUAGAGUUCAUGUAUUGCAGUUGGAGAAAUCUUUAAAAGUAAUGUUUUUAUAUACUGUCAAUAUAUACACGUGCAAUAUUUUUUUUAUGUGCUAUCAAUGUUCAACAUGGACAGAUGUACAAACUUUUGUUUCUGUGAGUACGAUAAUAAGUAGUGCCUCUUCAAACAAAAAAUAAUAAUAAAAGGACAAAGGCUUCAAAUUCUUUUCUAGUUUAAGUGUUCUUCGAAUUUAAAAAAUAAAAAACGCGAAACGUCCAACCAUACGUCUAUGUACAUUGGACUCGUCCUUUUGUACCUAAAUUAAUUCCAUCCUAUUGUCCUUAAAAGGAAAUUCAAAUGAAAUAGGUGGUUAGAAUUUCAUUUGGGUAAGUAGCAAAACAAAUUUUUACUUUAUAUCUACUAGUGGUAUCUUAUCAUUUUUGCAUUAUUUUAAUAAUCUUAUAGUCUUUAUUUUAAUAAACUGAUCUUCUACAUUGUCCUCUUUGUUAUUGCCUUGUGAGCUACUUGCACUCUUAUUUGGAGAAAAUAUUUUAAUACUGAACAUGUAUACAUUAACAAACGUAUAAACAAAAAUAUUCUCUUUUUCAUUUCCCACUUUUUCUCUACUUCAUUUAUCUAGUAAAUCUCAUGCUCCUAAUUUUUUAUUAAAAAAAUCUCGUUAUGUAAAGCAGACAUCAGACUAUUCUUUCCUAUGGCAUCCACCACUGUCACGAAAUCAUUUGAAGUAUGCUAAUGUUUGUACUUAACAGCCAGUCCUACAUGCACCAUGGAUCAGUUGGUUAUACGGACAGGAUGCAUUGAACACCAAAAGAAAUAUAUAGGGUUCACAUGUGAGCAGUUCUGACAAAAAAAAAAAAAAAAUUCAGGCUAUUAAUGUGAGCAGUUUUGACCAUAGGGUUCACAUUCUGAUAAAAUUAUAACUAUUUACUGCUUUGGUACUAUAGUAAUAUUUUACAAUUUUUGUAGACGUAGGUAUCUCGAAAUGCACUUUGGCCGGAAAAGAAACAAGAAGACAAGAUAAGAGUCUUGCAAGUUGUAGCCAAAAAAAAAAAAAGAAAAAAGAAAAAAGGUUUCGCUGACAAUGUUUCGCUAUCUUCAGAUAAUCAGAAAGUUGUAAACCUUGAACUUUAUUCAAGGUACAAAUUUGAUCUUAGAGUGAAUAGAAGGUACAAUAAUGGAGAUAUCCUCCAGUAGUAGCAUUAGUUGCUUUGAUUCCGCUCUAGAAUAUCUGGACUGGUUCAGUGCGACAUUCCGAUGUCUGGACUGUGAUGAUAUCACUGACCUGGUGGAGCUCGGAGUGAGAGUAUUACAAAGCUUUGAUCUGUAUCUGACAAAGUGUAGGAGGAGGAGGAGGAACCUUGAAACCUGUUUGGAACAAGAUGAGGAAGAGAAGGAUGUUACUUCUUUCAGAAUUCAAAACCUGAUUAUCGGAAGAAUGCAAGAUCUUGAAUUUGCUUGCAGCGAACACUUGAUUCAUUCUCGUUUAGAUGGUUUGACUCAGAUCCGAAGUGAGCUCACCAGAUUCCAGGUAGCAAUCAAAUUGUUUUUCGAGACAUAUAUCAAGGAAUCGUGCAUCAACUCUCUGUUGGAGUAUUACUGGCUGAGAGAUCCGGAACUAGUUAUUGAUUUCGUUGAUUCGGUCUCAAAGACUCUGGCGGAACUUCCCAUAUACUGUUUCAAACACCUUGUAAAUAAGCUAAUGUUCAUGAAGAGUUUCAUUCGCUUUGCCAUGCUUCGCGGCAUCAAGGGUCAGCAAUUGAUAGAUCUCUUGAUUCACGCUGAAGUGGUGGCUAUCAAUGCAUUACGCCUGGCCUCUAUAUGGUGCUUGGACAGUGACAGACAUAAUGGAGAUGUACAGAAGGAAAUGAGACUUCAAAUUUCUCGACUAAUACGUGAGAAGAUUAAUCCUGGUGAUCCCCCGGUCCGAGAAACUUACAUCCAUGUCUUGACUGCUGCAAAGUUAUCAAGAUCAUCAGAUAUUUCAGAUCUGGAGAAGAAUAAGCAUCUAGUAGCUGACUUUAUGGAUCGUCUCGUUCACAAUAUUAAGGAGCUGCUGAAAUCCUGUACCAAUAUUCUUGUUCCGAUUAUGAAUCAAAUGCUAAAACUCCUUGAGGGGCUAAGAUUCCUGACAAUCCUUCUCAAGCAUCAGGAGAAGUUCAAAGAGCUGUGCCAUGAAAUGAAGAAUCUUAUUGGAGUUGUGGCCUGUGAUGCAGUGGUUGUAAUUUUCUCUCUUUCUGUGAAUCAAAUCGAAGAAGGCUUGGCCAAGGAAACCGAUCUUGCUCUUUUUCAUUUGCUUAAAGUGAUUAAGUUUAUUAGGGCAGAAGUUACCGAUCCAGUAACAUCAUUUUCGCCAUUUGGUUUUCCUAGGACCAAUGAGAUGGGCUCUAUGGAUUUUCUCCUUGAAAAUCUGAAAGAACUAGAAAUUUGUAAUGAGGCUGAUGAUUCAAUUGCAUUCCCGAAAGAUCAAAUCCACACAGUCCUCGAAGAUCUCGUAUUCUUAAGAUCUUUCCUUGUCAAGAUAGCAGACCAGCGCAACUGGAAUGGAAAACUCCAAGCUCUUUGGAGUCGUGUUAUGGAGGUUGCACAUAGGGCAGAGUUUGUCAUUGACUCUAUUGUGGUUGGUGAUAAACAUGAAUAUUUGGAAAGAGUUGCCAGAGAUAUCCAGCUUUUGAGGACUGAGGCCUUUGAAACCUAUGAUAGCACGAAGCAUGACUGUGGAGCUCAGAGAACUAACCAAAAAUCUUUCCGCAUUGAGUCAAAAUGUAGCACCCCAGUGUUGAAUGAAGCUCUAGUGGGUCUUGAUGAUGAGGUAAAGACAAUUAUUCAUAGUCUUACCAGGGGUUCAAAGCUGUUGGAUUUUGUUUCAAUUGUGGGUAUGGCUGGACUUGGUAAGACAACAUUGGCCAAUAGAGUUUACAAUGAUCCAUUAAUUUUGAGCUACUUUCAUAUCCGUGCUCAGUGUAUUGUUUCUCAAGUGUAUAGCAUGCACAGUUUGUUAGUUCAGCUUUUAUGUAGUAUUUCUUCUAGAAGUCCGGAUGAAUAUCUUGAGAUUGGUGAAAAUGAUUUGGCUCACAAGCUAUACAAACUUUUAAAAGGAAAUAGGUAUCUCAUUUUUUUGGAUGAUGUGUGGGAGAUUAAGGCAUGGAAUUUGGUGAAAAGUUCAUUGCCCAAUGAUGCUAAUGGAAGUAGGAUUCUCGUCACCAGCAGAAUUCAAUUGCAAUUCAAACCUGAUAGCAAGGCUUACCAUCUCCGCCACCUUACUGACAAUGAGAGUUGGAAAUUGCUGUAGAAAAAGCUAUUUGGCAAAGAAGGUUUUCCUCCAACACUAGGUAAAGUUGGAUCUCAAAUAGCAAAAUUAUGUAGGGGCUUACCUCUCACAGUUGUUCUCGUUGCUGGAAUUCUUGCUAAUACUGUAGAAGACUGCUGGGAAGAAGUUGCAAAGAGUCUAACUUCCAGUAUUGUCCUUCAUGAUGAAUACUGUAUGAAGACGCUUGAGCUGAGUUACAAUCAUUUACCGGAUGAUUUGAAGCCAUGCCUUCUUUACUUUGGUGCAUUUCAAGAAGACGAAAAUGUUCCCGUCCGAAGGUUGUUAUGGCUCUGGAUCUCUGAAGGAUUCGUGCGAAAGACUGAGGGAAAGAGAUUAGAGGAUGCAGCAGAUGACUACUUGAGGGAUCUGGUUGAUAGAAGUUUAGUUAUGGUUUCCAAACAAAGAAGUACGGGUGGUGCCAAAGCCUGCCGACUUCAUGAUUUGGUACACGAGUUUUGUGUGAAAAAAGCCAAAGAAGAAAACCUUCUACAUAUUUUGCAUAGUCAGAGUGGACGUUUUAUUCUUACCGGCCCAAGCAACCCCCUCCGAGUUUGUGAUCAAAAUACCAAGAAUUUGAUGAUUUGGGAGUUAAUGCUAGAAUUUCCGAAUGUACGGAGUUUGUUAUUGUUUAAGGAGGAUGAUUUGGGGUUUUGGUUACUUAAACUUCUAAGAGUGUUGGAUUUGAGGAAAUUGGUGUUUCAUGUAUAUUUUCCAAUGGAAGUACUUUUGCUUGUUCACUUGAGAUACUUGGCUCUUUGUACUAGAGGAGUAAAUUUCAUCCCAGCUGCAAUAGCUAACCUCUCAAGGUUACAAACUUUUCUGCUACGAGGAAACAACGCUGAUUGUUUCUUACCCAAGACAAUCUGGAACAUUAAGACAUUGAGGCAUCUAUGGACUACAAAUUCCGCUAUUGGUUUUAUGUUUCCUGUUGAAAAUCUUGAAGUAUCCCCAGGUUUAGAUCGUUUAGUCGCUUUAAGCCUUGCCAUUGAUCCCUCCUCUCAAAGCUUGCAAAAGACACUGGCAAAGUUACCAAGCAUCCGCAGGCUAAGAUGUAACAUGAGGAAAUCAAGAGAAGAAACUACAAGAAUUGGCAACGAGAUUCUCGGGUUUGACUGUUUGAGUCAACUAGAAUCACUUACUCUGCGUCAUUUUUGCGGAUUUGGAUUUAAAUUCCCAUUGAAUUUGAAGAAGUUGACUCUCUCCUAUCAUAAGCAGCCAUGGUGUGAAAUUUCCACAAUUGGAAAGUUGCCCAAUCUUGAAGUGCUUAAAUUACUCGAUCACUCCUUCUAUGGAGAAGAAUGGGAAAUGAACGAAGGGGAGUUCCUUAACCUCCGAGUCUUGAAAUUGUCAAGGUUGCGGGACUUUCACAGCUGGACUGCAUCUUCUGAUAAUUUUUCCCGUCUUGAGAAAUUGGUUGUCGACUGGUGUCCAAACUUGGAAGAUGUGCCUUCUUGUUUAGGAGAAUGUCUGACUCUUGAAAUGAUUGACGUGAAAUGGUGUGGUGAGUCUGUUGCAAGUUCAGUGAAGCAAAUUCAACAAGAACAGAUAGAUACAGGAAAUGAAGUUCUAAAGAUCUCAAUUGAACCUUGUGGUGAUGCGCGGAGUUCCAGCGAAGAAGAAGAAGAAGAAUCAAGUCCCCUAGAAACAGAGUCAAUCCCCUCACAAGGAGUCUAAUUCAAGUUUCUUGAAAGCAAUUUCUGGAGCUUCCCCAUCUUUCUGUUUUGACAUGAUGCCGCUAGCUAUAACUUUGUGACUGCAAUGGCAAGCAUGCACAAUAAUGCAUUAGUCAAUCCAACAUUAUCUAUCACAAUCUCUUUCUAAGAUGUCUCCAUGUUCUUUUCUGGUUUGAUAAUGUUUAACGGAGUUUAUCUUUUUAAAAUCUCAAUUCGUGAAAUUUUCUUUAAUUCUGCUACAGAUUUAUAUGAUGAUUAUAGCUAGCUAAGCACAAAUUUAUAUGCAUGAUACACUUUUCUCUUCCUACUUCGUAUUUUUAACUUGCUUCUGUUUUUUUUUUUUGGCUACAAAUAUUAAGAAGAGACAAGAAAAAGGGAAAAAAAAAACUUGGUUAUUUACUUUUUACCUUUGCAAGUACUGCAUAUUAAAGAAGUUAAAUACAGAGCGGGAAGCAGUGCUUAAAUUAGUCGGUGGUCGUGCGCUGUGAAUUGGAAAGUUGCUUUAUUAGAUGGAUUGGUUCUUUCCAUUUUCUUCUUUUAUUCUUCUUGUUGUGUUAUAUUAUAUUUGUUGUGGUGCUGGAUUUCUUACUGGUUUCGCUCCUUUUUCCUUUUUUUCCCCCAAACGCUGCUGCUAUUUAAUUGCUUGCCAUAUUAUUAUUAAUUUUAUUAUUAUUAUUAUUAUUAUUAUUAUUAUCAUCAUCAUCAUCAUCAUCAUCAUCAUCAUCAUCAUCAUCAUCAUCAUCAUUGUUUAUAAUAGAACAUGCAGUUGUACCAUUAUGUUGUUUUCUCCUUUCUCCUGAAUAACAAGUUGCUACAAAAACUACGCUUGCAAAAUUCUUUAUGAAUUGUGGUACUUUUGAGAGGUAUUUUAUGUAUUAUUUUUAAUAAGAACCUUUUAUGCAUAAAUAAAUCAUGGAAUUUGUGUGUGUUAUGAGUUAACGCAGAAAUUAAGUAUCCUAAGUUUAAAUCCCAUGUUGAUUUUUUUUACCGACAAUAUUUUUUUCUCAAGGUUACUGUUUUUUAUUAUAAUAAUGAUAUUGUUAUAAUAGAAUAUGUAAUUGUGCUAUUACGUAGUUUCCUCCUUUUUCUUGAAUAAUAGUUUGCCAAAGAAAUUGCGCCUGCCAAAAUUCUAUAUUAUUACGUGGUACUUUUCUUUUGUGGAUAGAAUGCUUCCUUCCGUUUUGCAUUUUUGUGUUCUCCUUAUAUUAUACCAUAUUUGUGGUGGUGCUGCAUCUCUUAUCGAUCUUGCUCUUUUUUUCUCCUCCUUUUUCUUUUUUUUUUUUCCCAAAACUCUGCUGCUAUUAAAUUCCUUACCAUAUUAUUACAAUUUUAUUAUUAUAUUACCAUUAUUAUAUUAUGAUUAUUACUGUUAUUUACCUUUCAUAGGUAGUAAUAAUAGUUGCACUGCUACUAGAGUUCUUACCCUUUUUGUAUAAAUGUAAGUCAUAAAUGAUGAUAUAAUUGUGGUACUACUGGAAUGCGUAUUAGUUUUGAAAAUGUUUUCUUUUUUUUUGUAUGAAUUAUGAUAUUCGCCUGUAUCUUAUAAAUUAGAUACAGACAGGAUCUUGUUUUCCCCUUGCUGGACGAGGUUGUUAUUUUUCCUUUUGUUUUAUACCUUUUCCUUUUUUUUAUAACAAUUGCUUUUUCUAUUUUUUGUAGGGGUGUCAGUCUUUCUUCUUCUUUUUUUUUGUUAUUUGAAUUCUAUUGCUUAUGUAAUAAUAAUCAUAAAAGAUAUCCUUUUUUUAGCAAGGAAUGUUUUGUGCACGUUUAUUCUUUUUUUUGUGUGAUAAAAUAUACAAUUCUAUCACUAUAUUUUUUUACUUUUUUUUUAAUAAUAGAUUAAGAAAAAAUUCAUCCUGGAUUUUUUACUACUUGUUUUGCUGUAUCUUUGUCAUGAUUAUUUGUUUAAAUUGUAAUUUUUAUGAGUUUUUUUAUAAUAAAAUAUAUAAUUGUAUUACUCAGUUGUUUUCUUUCUAUUUUUAAUAAUAAAUUAGAGAACUACUAUCUUGGAUCAUUGAGUACUAUUAUUUUAGUUAGUUAUGGCAUAAUUUCCUCAUGCAUAUGAAAAUUACUCUAAUAGUGAAUCAAUUACUCUCAUACCUACUCUCGUGGUUAUGCAAUUAGAUACAAAUUAAUUACCUCUAUGAAAUUACCUAAAAUGAAUCACUAAAACCACAAAGAUGCACCCCUACUUUCGUGAGUGUACUCUCUAGGUUUAACACCUCUUGAACUAAUGUUAAAUCCCAAUUUUCAUUUAAGAAACAACACCUUUAGAUAAUCACAAAUAAUGAUACCAAGUUAAUCAUGAUUUGAGGAGCAAAAGAGCUAAAUAACUUGCUCAAAUUAAAAGCAUCAAAUAACCAAGAAAUUAACACAAUACAAUCAUAGAAAGUUAAACCAAACUUAAGGCAUAAACUUUAGAAACGCAUAAUAAAUAUAAAAUCCAGAGCUUGCAUAUUAACUAAACUUAGAAUCAAUUACAAAAGAUAAAGAGUUGGAAAGAUAGAGUAACUCUUGUCACAUGAGCUCUCUUCUUGUCUUCUUCUUUCUCCAACUUCUUCUUCAUUCAGCUAACACACAAGAAAGGAUGAACUAGCUAAAACUACACUAUUCUACACUACCUAAACUAAAGGGCUAAAAACUAUCUAAGAACUACAUUUUGUGGUGUUUCUUCACCCCCUCUCCAAGCUCUCUUGAUUCUUGCAACUCUAUGGCUAUUUAUAGAUGAAUUUAGUUAAAAAAUGAGGCUUCAAACAUCACUUUUAUAGCUGCAAAAUAGUUGUCACAUGUCUAUCAAUAACUAUGAAUUAUUGGGGGAGAAAACAAGUUGUGCAAUUGGAGAGCCGUAAUUUCUGACUAGAAUCCGGCCAAAUAUCUGUCUAAAAUUGGCUGGAUUUCUCCCCUGUUUUGCUUCUCAAUUUCUAUUCAACCUUUAAUGUUGUUCCAAAUUUGCAUCAAUUUUAACUGAACUUUUCUUAGAAUUAACUCUUGACCAAAACAUAAUACUUGUAUUCCUUUGAGUUAGCUUUCCAAUACAUCAAGAAUCACUUCAUUUGGAUUUGUGUAGGCUACAAAUGACUGAAAUGCCCUUAAUUGUUCAAUGCCUUGUUUUAGUUUCGACCAUAGAAGUUGGCUACUAUAAUUUGGUUUUUUCACCUAGAAAACGUUUAAAUUGGAUUUCAAUGUCUUCAUAGGAAUUGUAGAUCUAUCUCUUAUAUUCAAAAUGGUUCAAAAAUCAUCUCAAUCUGAUCAUUGUAGCUCAAGUUAUAGCCAAAAUACGAAAAUGUGUCAAAGCAGUCAACUUUCCUUUUUCAUCCAAAUGAAGUCUAUUUCCAACUCCUAUAAAAAAAUUAUGGACAAACUAUAAGUAAAAAGGGAAAUAAACCUCAUUUAAACACUUAAGAGCAUUUUAAACUAAUUAUAGCCAAAAUAAUUCAUUUUCUUCUUAUAGCAUUACGAAAGUGAUUGAAAAUAUCAUAAAAUGUCAUUUUAAUAUAGCUCAAAAUAGUCAAUUAUCAUUUAUGCAUGGUAUUUUAUGUAUUAGUUUGUUUAUUUCGUCCACAAACUAAGUGGGGGAUUGUUGGAAUAGUUUGUGAAUGAAAUAGAAAUGAAACUUGUUACAACAAAGAAUUUGGAAACUUAAGAGUCUUGUUGGAAGUCAAAAGUUUCUGAAAUUUUUGGCAUUUUCUAUCCAUUAAAGGGGUUUAAUGGUACCUUUCAAUGUUCAUGAAUGUCCAUAAACAUGUAAAAUAGUGGUUGAAUAACUUGUGAUCUUUGAGUUGUUUUUUCAAUAUAAAAUGACAAGUCUCCACCAUAGAACUAACUAGAAUCUUGAUCAUCUCUUUGUAGAGCAAACUUGACAUUUGCCAUCAAGUUUCUCAAAAAUUUUGUUGUAUCCUAGAUGUAAUUUGCCAUAAUCCUGUAGCAAGUACUUUGUGUAGUGGGAGGCAAAUAACACAUUAAGGACAGUGUCAAACACAUCUCAAGGUCAUCAUUUUCAUCCCCCUUUUUAAGUGAAAUUUGUGUAAUACAAAUUUCUGCACUUUUCUUGGUGCUUGAGUAUCAGUUACACCAACAAUCCCAAAUGGAGGUCUAGAUCUCUAGUUACAGUCAAUGUUCUAAAGCUGCAUCAAAUUGCCAAUUUUGGUCAAAUAGACCCUUUGAUACUCUGAAAUCUGCCAAAUCAUAAAACAUAACAUAAAUCUUUUUAUUAAGCUUUUAAUUUAAACGAAAGACUAAGUGUUGUAGAAAUAAAAUAUAUAAACUUGUCACUUUAUCAUUCUAUUUUUUGUAUAAUAUACUUAGCCAAAACGUUGUCUUCCUUAUAUUCAUCAAGGAAAAUAUAUUGGGAGAAUUUGGAAUAUGGACACCAGAAGAAUCAAUUUUCCUAAGCAGGGUAUAACUUUCAACAAAUUCCUGAAGAGGGAAUAAGUUACUAUUCAAUAAUUAUUAUUAUAAUUAAGUUCAAAUCAAAUUUAUCAAAAUCUCAAAGUCUGUUAAAACAGACAACACUCAAACAGCUUAACAAGAGGGACGGAUGCAGGAUUCUAGUUUAAGGAGGCGAACAGUCAAGCAAGGAACAAAAAAAAGUCAUGAGAAAUGAAGUGCACUAAGUUAAAAUGAAAGUUCAAUAAACGAUAAUUAACAACUAAGUAUUUUAACAAUAAAAAACAAUGUGUAAAGUAAAUUAUGAAUGUUGGACUCUUGACAGGUGCCGAACCUGUGCAAUAAUAAUAAAUAAAACCUAACUACCACUAAAAGCAGUCAAUAAUCAAUUCUAAGUACUGGAGCAGAGACUCUAGGUGUGCAAUGGGUUACUUGAUUCACCCUGUUCCCGAAGAGUUUGCUUAAUCCGAUAUACUUGAAUUAAUUAUUUAACUGAAUUCACUAACUAGUAGACAGUGGUAAGCAGGGUCGUCUUUUCAGGGACUAGCGAGAAAUUUGUUUCUUUUCAAGUCAAGAUUAAUGGGGGGUUUUGGAAUUAAAUGCCAAUUAAACAAAUUUAAUGCAGAAAAUAAUUAAUUAAAAGAAAUAAUUAAGAGAAACUCUAGCCAAGGGUACACUUCAGAAAUGGUUCAUGCACUGAUCAUCGAUUCACAGAUAAUUCCAACACUUAUUAAUAGAUUGGUUAUAGUUGUCAUGCACGCGAUAAACAAUCAACCUUUCCUUAAUUUCUCGAUAGUUAAGGUACGACUGUUAACUAUUUUUCUAACCCAAAAACAACCCUAGGUACGACCGUAGGAUUUAAUUUCUAGAUUGCAUUAAUAAUUAGAAAGACUCAAUCCUAACUAAUAAACACGCUACGAGAGUUUAUUUAAAUUAGAUCAUAUGUUCCCCUGACAUAAACCCAAUUACGCCAGUUGCUACUGAGAUAGAGAUAACGAACAAUUACGGAUUCAAUUAUCCCUAUUUAGCAAAAUAGCCUAUAUGAACAAUUAAUUAUUGCGCACUAAUCAAUCAUUCACAAGGGCUAUAACGAUUAGAAGUAGGAAGCAUAUAAAUACCAAUAAAUAAAGAAAAUAAUUAAAAACGGUUUAGAUCUCACAGUGAUUGCUGAACCAAUUCGUCAGUUGCCCCCUUGACUAGAAUUGAGAAGCUAGUUCUCCAUUAAUGGAGAACCAGCCGUGCCAAAGUAAAAAUAAUCGCCCCUGCUUUUCUAAUGUUUUCUCCCUUUUAAAAGUCGGCUCAGGAGGAAAAGUCCCCAACCUACGUACCUUCCAAUCGUUUUUCAAAGUAAAAACAAAGUCAAAGACAAGCCUUCACGAAGUCUCCUAAUCCUCUACGUUUUUUAGCCACUCAAAGGGAUGAAGGAAAUCCCUUUCCUUUUAGGCUAGGCCCACCAGAGAGAACAAACAGAUCCCCAUCCGGAUUCCUCUCCUUCAAAAUUGGUACCCGAGUACCAAUUUUUCUAAACAAUAGGAGUCCUAUUAUAGAUAGCUUUCUUCAGCUUUUGAAAUGGCCCCACUGCUUUUCCACAUUGUAGUCCGCUGCUUCAUUCAGUUUUGGAAGCUUUCACGUGUGCAAAUUAUCCUGAGAAUCCAUCCUUGAAAGCUGGAGUUAGGCGUGGGCACGCCAAACUAUCAGGGAGUCUGCUGGAAUGACGAUUUUCAGUACUUUUUCUUCACCACUUCCUGUAAUUAAUCCCGAACACAAAACCUGAGUAGAAUCCACCCAACUAGUGCAAUAUUUAGUCAAACAAUUAUGCAAUAAUAUCAAAAUAUCCCACUAAAAUGCACCCUAUCAAUCUCCCCCACACCUAAACGAUGCUUGUCCUCAAGCAUGAGAACAUAAAUCAAGUAAUUAAAUUCAAAUAAUAAUAUUACUCAAAUCUUCUAUUGCCAAGAUAUAAUUAAAACAUAUGUCAAGUAUUAGUGACAAUUUUCAAGAAAUAUCUCUCCAGUUAGCUUUGAAGAUUAAGGACUCCUUCAAUUUAUGACUAACUAAUCUAAGAAUAUAAAAUAUUCAACCAACAUCUAUAAGCAAAUGGUUCGACUAGUAAGCAAAAUCUCAACAUUAGAAUUCAUGGAUCAGUGGGCUAACAAUUCAUUUAAACACUUUCACAUUUUUCACUAUUAGCACUUUUUUCUAAAAUAUUCCCACACUUGAUUGAUUUUUUUUUCGGGAGAAUGCUUAGUUUUUAGCCAUUCAAGCGUUUUAACGCGAACUCCGACAUUGGCCACAUGAAGAAGCCCGGUUACUCAGCCAUUAUCGCUUAAAAAUCACAUACUCAUAGUUAUCGUCGCUUUUUGACGCGAAAGUCGACACUUAUGGUGAAGACUUCCGGUUACUAAGCAACGAUACUAGCGAAGUAUAGCCGAAUACUAUUCAUAAAUAAGCAUCAAAUUAAAAUUAAAAAUCACACAAGCCCGCUUCAUUUUUUAAACAUGGAGAACUAAGAUUAAUAGCUAAACCAAUUUGCACAAAAAAUGCUAGACAAAUAUUUACAAUACUUAGAAAAGUUAACCAACAAGUGCAAAAGUCACAAAAUCUCAAAUAUUCACCAGAGAGAUACCUUUGAAUUUAACCAUGUCAUACUUAACACUUUAGAGUGUAAAAUCUCAGCAGUAAUAGAAAAAUUUGAAACAUCUAACCAUCAUUUAUCAGAAACAGUCACAAAUACGCACAAGAUAGGUAAAAAUUGGAUAAAAUUCGACUGAAUCAAUAAAAAAAAUCCAACAAAAAUACCUACACUGGCACUUUUUCAAUAAAAUACCAAUGUACUACUCCCCCCACACCUAAACCUUACAUUGUCCUCAAUGUAAGCAAUAAAGAAUAAAAUUCAAAGCAAAAAGGGACAACGAAACUUCCCUGAUCAUCAAAAUGGGGGUUGUGACAUAGCUGUAGGUGAGAGGCACAAGACAUGUAAAGCUUGAUGGCAAAACUGAUGAAGAUGAAGGCUAUGAUCGGCAGCUAAGCAUGUCGAGUGGCUCACGAUGGAUAAAGGAGAAUUACGCACGAUAAGUAGCGAUAAUCAGGAACCGACGACCCGCGUUGAACAACACAACGGUGGCAGUGGAAUUUGAGGUCCUUUGGUUGCGGUCUUGUGGCUGGAAAAGAAAAGAAAGGAAUAAAAAGGAAAGGGAGAGAAGAAGAAAAGAGAGAAAGAAAGAAGAAUCAUGGGGUUUUUUUUUUUCUUUUUAGGGUUAAUUCCACUUUGUCCCCCCAAACUUUGGACAAUUAUCCACUUAAGUCCCUAAAUUUUAAAAUGGGACACUUAAGUCCCUAAACUUAUAAAUACCUCCCACUUAAGUCCCUGAACUUAUAAAAUGGGACACUUAAAUUCCUAAACCCUUAUAAAAUGGGACACUUCGACCACCAACGGCAUUCAGGAUUUGUUAACAAUUUUCCUUAAGUGGGAGGUAUUUAUAAGUUUAGGGACUUAAGUGUCCCAUUUUGAAAUUUAGGGACUUAAGUGGGUAAUUGUCCAAAGUUUAGGGGGACAAAGUGGAAUUAACCCUUUUUUUAAAGAAAGGAACCCCUGUGUUAGGCGUGGGUACGCCUAACUGCCUUCGAGUCUUCUGACCAACCGUCCGAAAUGGAGAUCCUUAAACGUGACCACCUGGCGUGGGCACGCCUAACUACUAGAGAGUUUUCUGACCAAUUUUCGGAAAUUGAGUUCCUUAGGCGUGACCACCUGGCAUGGGCACGCCUAACUACUAUAGAAUCUUCUGACCGCAGAUAAAAAUUGCUUUCCUUAAGCGUGACCAUCUGGCGUGGGCACGCCUAACUGCUGGGUAGUCUUCUGUCCGCCAAUUUAAAACUUCCUUCUUCAGGCAUGACCACCUAGCGUGGGCACGUCUAACUGCCAGUUCCCUGCCACAAAAGCAACAAAUCAGUAAAUGCAACUAACACUUAACAAAAACUCCAAAAACAUAAAUAAAAAAAAAACAAAAUAAAGGCCUUGGGUUGCCUCCCAAACAGCGCCUUUCUUUAAUGUUUUUGGCUAGACAUUGCCAUAUUUAUUCACGGAGGAUAAAAUCGUGUAACUCGUUUCAAUGUUUCAUCUUCUAUGUAAUCCUGAUAGCCCUCGUAAAUAGAAUAAUCCUUGAGCACACGAGCUACGAUCCUCGAUGGACUAGUAGAUAGCGCCAAACAAACAAGUAAUGACCUUAAGUCUUUACUCACUCCUCUAUCACAAGCACUUACUGGUUCGAGAUAUUUUGCCAUUGUGACUCUUAACUUAUUCCUGUCAUGAAACUCAAAAUUUUCUAGUAUAAUAAAAUCAAUCUCACUAACAGGAAUUAACGAAUAAGAGUUAGAAGAAUAUUGAUUAAGGAAUGGAGGAGAUAUCACCGUAUUUGGAGAUGGUUCACUGGAUUCAUUCACUUGAACAAUUUGAUAUUGGGGUCCCAUUUUGCGCACUUCAACUUUCUUUUCAACUGCAUCUUCAGAUCCUUCUUCUUGAGAUUCUCGCAGUACCAUGUCAUUUGUCAGGAUAAUUGCACUCUCAUCUUCCUCAUGGUCGAUAAUAGUCUGUAAGGGCAAUUUUCACUCAUUCGAGAAGUCAAUUGCGUUAUCCUAAAUGUCAAUUGAUCCAUUUUAUCUGCCAGAUUACGCAUUCUCGCUUGUGUCUCCUAAUGAAAAUCUAUUGUCGCCUGAUGAAAAUUCAUUGUCUCUUGUUGAAGUUGAUGUGUCUCCUGUUGAAUUUGAUAUGUGUUAGUAGCUAUUAAUUCAACUAUUUCUUCAAGAGACAUACCUGACAUGAAUGACGGUUCUUGAGACUCUAACUGUUGAAAAUCUAUUGGCCUUUGUUCAUAAUUAAAAUUAGAAUCAUCCCACCAUCCUUGCUCAUACCUGUUUGAAUAAGGGUCAUACCACGUUUAAUAUUGAGAUGAAAAAUCUCCAAAAGUAUCGAUUGGAGUACUUAGACCAUCUUGAAAUGCAGGGCAUAUGUCGGUUGAAUAAUUUGAGGCAAAAUAAGUUCCACAAUUUGCAACAACCCAUUGAUCAUUAGAAAAAAUAUGAGUCUCAUAACCCCUUGUAGAAAUCAAAUCCAGUCUAUCACCAAAAUACGUAAUGUAAGCAGCCAUAAACUAUAUAUAAAAAAAAUAAGAGAAAAAUAAAAAAUGAAAAUGAGAUGAACUCAAAAAGAAACAAAUUAAUCAGGCACCAGUCCCCGACAACGGUGCCAAAAAUUGACAGGUGCCGAAUCUGUACAAUAAUAAUAAAUAAAACCUAACUACCACUAAAAGCAGUCAAUAAUCAAUUCUAAGUACUGGAGCACGAACUCUAGGUGUGCAAUGGGUUACUUGAUUCACCCUGUUCGUGAAGAGUUUGCUUAAUCCGAUAUACUUGAAUUAAUUAUUUAACUGAAUUCACUAACUAGUAGACAGUGGUAAACAGGGUCGUCUCCUCAGGGACUAGCGAGAAAUUUGUUUCUUUUCAAGUCAAGAUUAAUGGGGGGUUUUGGGAUUAAAUGCCAAUUAAACAAAUUUAAUGCAGAAAAUAAUUAAUUAAAAGAAAUAAUUAAGAGAAACUCUAGCCAAGGGUACACUUUAGAAAUGGUUCAUGCACUGAUCAUCGAUUCACAGAUAAUUCCAACAUUUAUUAAUAGAUUGGUUAUAGUUGUUAUGCACGCGAUAAACAACCAACAUUUCCUUAAUUUCUCGAUAGUUAAGGUACGAUCUUAACUAUUUCUCUAACCCAAAAACAACCCUAGGUACGACCGUAGGAUUUAAUUUUUAGAUUGCAUUAAUAAUUAGAAAGACCCAAUCCUAACUAAUAAACAUGUUAUGAGGGUUUAUUUAAAUUAGAUCAUAUGUUCCCCUGACAUAAAUCCAAUUACGCCAGUUGCUACUGAGAUAGAGAUAACGAACAAUUACGGAUUCAAUUAUCCCUAUUUAGCAAAAUAGCCUAUAUGAACAAUUAAUUAUUGCGCACUAAUCAAUCAUACACAAGGGCUAUAACGAUUAGAAGUAGGAAACAUAUAAAUACCAAUAAAUAAAGAAAAUAAUUAAAAACGGUUUAGAUCUCACAGUGAUUGCUGAACCAAUUCGUCAGUUGCCCCCUUGAUUAGAAUUGAGAAGAUAGUUCUCCAUUAAUGGAGAACCAGCCGUGCCAAAGUAAAAAUAAUCGCCCCUGCUUUUCUAAUGUUUUCUCCCUUUUAAAAGUCGGCUCAGGAGAAAAAGUCCCCAACCUACAUACCUUCCAAUCGUUUUUCAAAGUAAAAACAAAGUCAAAGACAAGCCUUCACGAAGUCUCCUAAUCCUCUACGUUUUUUAGCCACUCAAAGGGAUGAAGGAAAUCCCUUUCCUUUUAGGCUAGGCCCACCAGAGAGAACAAACAGAUCCCCAUCCGGAUUCCUCUCCUUCAAAAUUGGUACCCGAGUACCAAUUUUCCUAAACAAUAGGAGUCCUAUUAUAGAUAGCUUUCUUCAGCUUUUGAAAUGGCCUCACUGCUUUUCCACAUUGUAGUCCGCUGCUUCAUUCAGUUUUGGAAGCUUUCACGUGUGCAAAUUAUCCCGAGAAUCUAUCCUUGAAAGCUGGAGUUAGGCGUGGGCACGCCAAACUAUCAGGGAGUCUGCUGGAAUGACGAUUUUCAGUACUUUUUCUUCACCAUUUCCUGUAAUUAAUCCCGAACACAAAACCUGAGUAGAAUCCACCCAACUAGUGCAAUAUUUAGUGAAACAAUUAUGCAAUAAUAUCAAAAUAUCCCACUAAAAUGCACCCUAUCAACUCUCCACCACUGUCUUAUGAAUACAAGGCAUUUGAAACUGUGGUCAUCAAUUUUUUCAUUUGGUCAAAUGCAACUAUUACUCGAUGUAGGUGUUAAAUCAAAGUUUUAUGUUAUUUAAUAAUUUCCUAAAUUGUUUGGUAAUAGCCUUUGUCGUUAGAUGAUGAUUAGUGGUUUAAAUCGAAAUUGUAUUCGGUUCCUUUACCAACUUGGAACUUGUGUCGAGCUAUUUAGGGAACUAGCUAGUUUAUAAAUACAACUACUAGUAGUACUGAUUUGUGUGCGUCCGGAACGGGAAGAAAUAACGAAUUAGAGAAUUUGCCUCCCGAUACUUUCCCUAGUUUCGUUCGUUUCUUCCUCGUGCCGUUCCAGUUGUUUAUAUUUUCCGCUGCCAAGAUUAUUGAUUGUUUAAUUCGUUCGUACUAGUUAUCCUGUGAGUAAAUUUUCUACACACGAACUCUACGUCUCUCAGUGUAUGUCAUUAAUGAUGGGCAAGAAAAUCAUCUUGAAAUCAUCAUCAAUCUUAUUGUGUAAUUAGUUAUGAAUUAACUUAUAACAGGAGCAAUUACAAGGGAGAAAACACUAGUAGAUUUGCCUUUAGAAAUGGUGGAUGUUUGAAAUGAGUUCAACGAAUUUGGAAAAGUUAAAAUUCUAGCCAUGACUGAAUUUUCUUGUAUUUGUCAUUUUUUUCUAUUUGAAUAAUGUUUUCCUAACAAUAACUAAUAUAAAGAAACAAAAAGUUGUUUUUCUAAGGAAACUUACAUUUAAAAAAAUUAAUGUUUCUUAAGGUAAAUAUUUAAUAGUUAUCAUAUAUUAACAAUAUAGUCUUAAUAAUGGUAUAAUAUAUGGAAACUAGAGUUAAUCUUUUGUCGGACGCUUCAUAAAGAGAAAUCAAAGGAAUUAAACCGACAACCAACAUAUUUGGAUGCCUCUACCGGCCCCUUCGUCCGUUGUUGUUAACAAGUCUUCAUAUCAACACCAAUAACAACCCCAAAUUUGUAUUUAUGACAAUGAAAUUCCUCAACAAGAAGGAAAGAAACUUUCAUGUCCAAAAACUUCAAAGAUAUGAUACCUUGGGGCAUCCAAUUCAACAAGUUUCACUAUAACAAUUAUCCUGAUUCCAUGGUGUCUGCUGCUCUCGUCUCUUGCCAUUUUUCCUUAUGUCAAUCACACUCCAGUCAUGCACUAAUGUAUCUUGGCUUUUUUACUCCUUUUUCCCCUAAGUUUGUUUCUUUAUUCCACUAUUGCUUUUACGAUUAGUGACUUAUUUAAGUAUUACGUUUGAACUCGUGACUUAUGGUGUUUGCCUCAGUUUAGGUUGGCAUAUUGAAUUUGGGAUCAGGUACAUGACUACGUGGUGCUAUAGUGGAGAUGGGAGUUGAUGAAUAUAUCCAACCUCUUCACUGUAUUUGUUAUAAAAAAGAAUCAUUUUUCCUUCAUUGAUUAGCGACGUGCACUUCAAUAAAUAGUAAUAUGCACUUCAAUGAAAAUUAAUGUGUACACAAGUGUGAAAUGAAAAAUUGUUAAAAGGUUUUGAUGCGAGGAAAAUCGGGUUUGUUUGGAUUGUAAGUUAUUUGAGAUAUUUUUACAGUAGCACUUUUUGUGAUAUGAUGUAUGUGAGAUGAAAAGGUAAUUGGGAAAGUAAAAAGGUGUAUUGGAAAUUGUAAUGAUGAUGUAAGCAAAUAUAUUUGGGGAAAUAAAGAUCAAUCCAAACAAACCUGAUAUUUCCCAUCAUUCAAAAUUUUGAUGCAGCACAUCUAAUUGAAUAACUAGACUUCAAUUUGAAGCCAAACAAACAUUUCUUCUACACAAAGCAAGCUACUUUACACACACAUACACAUAUGGGUACUUUCUGUACAAGUACUCUUCAGAUAGUUUUUAAUUAAUUUGUACCAGUUAUUAAAUAAAUUUUCAUAUACGGUGUCAUAGAGAAGAUAUUAUAUGACAAAUUGUACUUGUCCCACCUUAUAUAUUAAAAGAGAAUUAUUUUUUUCCUUCAUUGAUUAGUCAUGUGCACUUUGAUAAACCCAAGUAAGGACAAUGAUAUAUCGCAAUAGUACAAUUUUUUUAAUGUAGCACAACUAAUUGAAUAACUCUACUUCAAUUUGAGGCUAAAUAAACAUUUUUCCAAUACAGAUUGUGGUUUUCUGCAUACAAGUUCGCGUACUUUAUAUCCAAGUACAAAUAAAAAGUACUUUUUUUACCGUCGUUAAUUAAUGUAUACAGGUGAUUAAAUAAAAUUUCUUAGAUGGUAUCAUAAUAAAGCUAGUAAUUGACGAAUUGAAUUUAUUCAACCUCUAAGAUACAUAAGGGAGGGUUGGAUUGGGUAAAGGAGAAUAAUUUUUUGUUCGUUGAUUAGCAAUGUGGACUGUAGUCAAUAUUGAUAUGCACUUUAAUGUCUGUUAAUAUGCACUUUUGAUAAACACAAGGGUAAAAUAGAGAAAUCACUAAAAGGUUUUCAUGUGAGGGCAAUGAAACAUCAAAUUAUUGGAUUUUUUUUGAUGUAGUGUAACCAAUUGGAUAACCCAACUUCAAUUCAAGGUGAAAUAAACACUUUUCUUAUACAGAAUGAGGUACUUUACAUACAAGUUAGGGUCCUGUUUUAUGCAAGUAUUUUUCUUACAAUUGUUAAUUAUGUAAAUUAAUGAUCAAAUAAAAUUCAAGUGGAUGGCUGAAUAUUAGCUCCUAUUUAUACAAUUUAGAAAUAACAAAUUUGCAAGAUACAAAUCUCAUAAUAAUCACUAACUGAUUUUUAAAAUUUAUUCUGCCAGUCACAAGGGAGGGUUGGAUUGGGUAAAGGAGAAUAAUUUUUUCUUCGUUGAUUAGCAAUGUGGACUAUAGUCAAUAUUGAUAUGCACUUUAAUGUUUCUCAAUAUGCACUUUUGAUAAACGCAAGGGUAAAAUAGAGAAAUCACUAAAAGGUUUUUAUGCGAGGACAAUGAAACAUCAAAUUAUUGGAAUUUUUUUUGAUGUAUUGUAACCAAUUGAAUAACUUGACUUCAAUUUAAGGCCAAAUAAACAUUUUUCCUAUACAGAAUGAGACACUUUACAUACAAGUUAGGGUCCUUUUUAUACAAGUACUUUUCUUAUAAUUGUUAAUUAUGUAAAUUAAUGAUCAAAUAAAAUUCAAGUGGAUGGCUGAAUAUUAGAUCCUAAUUAUACAUUUUUGAAAUAACAAAAUUGCAAGAAACAAAUCUCAUAAUAAUCACUAACUGAUUUUUUAAAUAUAUUAUGCCAAUCACAGUGGAUUUGAGAUCAAAGAAGCAUUUUAGGUUUACAAAAUUUGUAUUUCACAUACAAAUUAGAGUUUUUUUUUAUUAUUUUUGUAACAGUAGUGAAUCAAUUUAAGUUCAUAUUAAUCUUAGUUAACUUGUCUAGCUUAUGCUGCUUACUAAUGUUGAAUUCAAGAUUGAACAAAUUUUUUUCUUAAUACAAAACCAAUACUUUACAUAUACAACUUAGGUAUUCAUUUUUUUGAUAUAAAUAAUUUUAUUAACAGAUUGUUGGAAAUUAUCCAAUACAAUUUGAUUUACAUUAAUGUUUUGAUGGUAGGUUAAACAUGCACUACAAAAUAUAGACAUACAAUUUAACAGAUAUAAUGAAUCUGAAAAAUUGUAUAUAGAUCUGAAAAGUAUAAGAAAUUUCAAAUUUGUCUUCUAAUAAAUAAAUUGUUGCAACUUUCUUCUAUGCAUAUUGCAAUAACAACUCAGGUAAUCAUUAACAAUUAAGUGAUUAGUGUCUAAUUUUGGAUUCGAAUUUGGGUAACGUUUGUGCACAUUUAUAUUCACUGGAGUGCACAUUCAUAUUCUUCUUCUUUUUUUUUUGUCGAAACGUUAGAAUCAUUUCAUUCAUUGUAACGAGAAAUUAUAAGUGCAAGCAAAGGCUCGAAAGGUCUGUACAUCUAGUGCUCAAUAGCACUGAGGAAAAAUCCAUUCCUCAUCCACAAUAAUGCCUAAGGCAUGAAAACUUAAACUUUUGCUUCUUUCUAUACUUUCUUCACUAACCAAGCAAAACAAGCACAUGCGAAACAGCUUCUGUAUGUUAAGUAUGUCUUCUAUGAAGGUAGCUAAACUGCUGUUGGAGGGGCUUCUGAUCUUGAUAUGUCUCAUCAAUUCUUGGUUUUGAGAGUGAAUCGUGAUCCUACUCCAUUUCUGCUCUAAAGCUUUACACAAAACAACUUGAUGGCCACUGCUUCAUUUAUGGUUUUAUCUCCCAAGUUUCUCUCUUUGAGUGCCCAUUCUGCCAUCAGAGUAUUUGGAUGCCUCCUAACUGUAACUCCAAUCCCCAGCGAGACCUGACCGUACUGACUCUUUGUUGCCACCUCCAGAACAAUUGCACCUUCUUCUUCAAGCCCCUGAUGAUGUUCUACAUUGUUGGAAGUUGUUUCUCCUGUGCUUAACCUGAUCUUAGUGUUCAUGCUUUCCUCUUGUUCCAACUAGUCCUUAUGAGCUUUAAUAAUUGUCCUAGCUAGUGAGCAGCUGCUUUUGUUUUCAAAUUCCUUUUUGUUUCGUUCUUUCCACACUUGCCAUAAAAUUCUUGCAGUCAGUCCAAUAUGCUCCAUCCCACUUGGCCUUUUUCUUGCCUCUGAAACUCUGAUCCACCAACGUUUGAAAUUUCCUUGUUGGUCUACAGCACCAUCCCAUUGUAUUGGUGCAGCCUUCUAUACCUCCUGUGUGUGUUGACAGUUCAAAAGUAAAUGUUCCACUGUUUCCUGCUCUUCCCCACAGAUUCUACACACUGGAUCUCCCAAUCUUGUCUUCCUCACUGGUAGUUCACCAGUUAUGCAUUUCCAAAUGAAAAUUUUUAUCUUAUGUUUGAUGUUGAGCUUCCAUAAGGUAUUCCACAUUUGCCUAGCUUGCUGGCUUCCUUCUGUGAUACUUGGACUUGCUGCCUCUGCUUGUUCCUUCUCAGCAUCUGUGCUCUCUUUCAUAAGGAGUUUAUAGCCUGAGUUGACCGUGUAUAUCCCCCCUGCAUUGUGUUGCCAAUAGUAGCUGUCCUCUCUCCCAGUCAAACUUAAGGGGAUCUUUAAGAUCUUCUCAGCAUCCCUUUGAUUGAAAUACUUAAAGAUGAUGUUUCUAUUCCAUCUUUGAUGACUGAUUAACUCAUGCACCAUCUUCAAGUCACUACUUUGAGGUCUAAGGGAGGUUGGCUUACCAGAACUAGAUCCAGGAAUCCAUCUAUGAUCCCAGAUGCUUGUACUUCUCUCGUUGCCAAUCUUUCUAAUCAUCCCUUUGUCAAUUAAGCAUCUGGCUCCUAGUAAUCCUUGCCAUAUCCAGGAUGCAUUCUUGUGUGUCUUGCAUGUUAAGAUAGAGUCCUUAGGGAAGUAUCUAGCUUUCAGCACUUUGCUAAUCAGGAGGUUUGGUUUGGUGAUUAUUCUCCAAAUCUGCUUACCCAGCAAAGCUUUAUUAUAAGCUGCUGUGUCCUUGAAACCCAGACCUCCUGCAUUCCUCUUCAUUGACAUUUUCCUCCAAGAUACCCAAUGCAAUUUGUUUUUGCCAUUUGUUUCUCCCCACCAGUAAUUGGCCAUCAGUGAGCUAAUGUCUUUACACAGCUUCCUUGGCAGUUUGAAAACAACAUGGCAUAAGUAGGCAUUGCCAUUGAUACUGCCUUGAGCAUCACUUCCUUGCCUACAGUACUUAGCAACUUAUUCCUCCAAUCCUGAAGCUUUCUCCUUAUGUUUUCCUUGAUGAACCCAAAGAUCUGAUCCUUUGUCCUAGAGAUCACCAUAGUCAGUCCCAGAUAUUUGCCUUGUUUCAUCUCUACCAUUCCUCCCAGAGAGCUGCACACUUCUUUUCUUUGCUCCAUAGACAUAUUCUUACUAAAAAAGACAGAAGACUUAUCCAGGUUGAUCAACUGUCCUAAAGCCUUUUCAUAUGUUUUGAGAAUCUUCAUGAUUUCAGUAGUCUGCUGCUUGUUAGCUUUACAAAAAAUGAGGGAGUCGUCUGCAAAGAAAGGUGUGUGAUGAUAGGUCCUUGCCUACUGAUCCUCAAACCUUUUAUGUCAUUCCUCUCUUCAACUUUCCUCAACAAGUUGGAGAAACCUUCUGAUCAGAUUAAGAAUAAGUAAGGAGAUAAUGGGUCUCCCUGUCUUAUUUCCCUUUCUGGAGUUACAAAUCCUUUAGUUUCCCCAUUGCAAUUGAAAGAGUAGGUUACUGUUUUCAAGCAGUUAAUAAUCCAGUUAAUCCAUUUUACACAAAAGCCCAUCUUCAGCAUCAUUGCCUGCAAAAAAUGCCACUCCACUCUAUCAUAGGCUUUGGCCAUGUCUAACUUGAUUGCCAUGUAACCUUUUUUUCCUUGCCUUUUAUUUUUGAGGUAAUGCAUGUACUCAUGGCUUAAGAUUACAUUAUCUAAGAUUUGUUUGUCUGGGAUGAAAGUAGAUUGGAUGCUACUAAUGCACUUUCCCAGAACUAGUUUCAGUCUAUUGGCCAAAACUUUGGAAAUGGUUUUGUAGAUCACACUGCACAGGCUGAUGGGUCUAAAAUUUUUCAAACAAGUUGGAUUCAAGAUUUUGGGGUUUAGAAAAAUAAUAGUAUGAUUAAUAGAUUUAAGCAUGAAGCCUGAACUAAAGAAAGAUUGAAUUGCUGGAAUCAAAUCCCCUUUGAUAAUGCUCUAGAACCUUUGAAAAAAUAAGGGGGACAUGCCAUCCUGGCCUGGAGCUUUAUCAGGCUACAUGGAAAAGAGAGGUGAUUUGAUUUCUUCUUCCUCAACUGGUUUAGUUAGAUUGGUGUUCAUUUCCUGAGUAAUUGAGUAGGGAAUACCCUCUAGGAUCUCAGACAUAUCAUUCCUCCCUCCACUUGUAAACAACUCUCUAAAGAAGUCAGAGAUUUCUGAUAUUACUUCCUCCUCACUUUCAGUCCAUGAACCAUUCUCCCUUUGCAAUUUCCUGAUUCUAUUCUUAGUUCUUCUCCCCUUAACAUAGGCAUGGAAGUACUUUGUGUUUUUAUCUCCUUCUCUUAGCCAGUCAAGCCUUGCUUUUUGGCACCAGAAUUUAUCUUCUUCCUUAUAGGCUUCCUUAAGCUAGUUCUUGAGCUCAGUCGUAGUCUCUUUCUUAUUAGCAGCAUUUGAGCCUCUCACAGCCUCUAGUUCCUUCCCUAGCUCCACAAUCUUUCUUUUAGAAUUUACUUGGAAGGUGUUUCUCCAUUUCAGUAGCUCUAUUCUACGGUUUCUGAUCUUUUUGGUAACUUUGAACAUACAUGAGCCAGGCUCUUCCCUCUGCCAAGCUUGCUCCACUACCUGUUGAACCCUUUCCUUUUGCAACCAUAUUUUAUCAAAAUAGAACCUUUUUUUUUCCUUUUCUCCUUCCCUGGAUCAGUGUCUAAGAACAGUAUGCUAUGAUCAGAAGCAUAAGUGUCCAUGUGUUGACAUCUUGCUUUUUCACAUGUCUAAACCCAUUCAUAGCUGGCCAAGCAUCUAUCUAAUCUCUGCCUUUUCUCAUUCAUCCUCCCAAUGGUUACUCCAAGUCCAUGGGUGACCCUCAAAGCUUAUAGCUAUCAAGUUAUUCUGAUCUAUAAAGUUCUUAAACUCCAUUAAGCUUCUCUCCACUCUGAGAGUUCCUCCCCAUUUUUCUUCAUUAGACACUAUGUCGUUGAAAUCUCCUGCAAUCAUGAAUCUGUCACCCCACAAUCUAUUUUUACCUCUCAAGACUCUCCAUUGCUCCUUCCUAAUCUGAGCAUUACAGCUCGCAUAAACCCCUAUAAACCACCAGUCACAUUGCUUAUCAGUAUCCUCUAUUCUGACUUCAAUAAUGAAGGCUGUUAGGUUAACUUCCAGAACUUGUGUUUUCUCUUUCCAAAAAAUAGCCUUACCUCUGGCCUUGUGCAUAGCUUCCACCACUGCACUGUUGUCAAAAUGUAAACCUCUAGCAAUCCUAUCAAGCACCUGUUUUCUAUUCUUUGUCUCACUCAAGAAAAUCAGGCUUGGAGAGAGGAGGUUAUUCACCCUCAAAUGGGGAACUGUCAAGGGGCUCCCCACUCCUUGACAAUUCCACACCAAGGCUCUCAUUUCCUUUGGGGGGCCCCAUUAGGGAAGGACCCACCUCCACCUCAGUCAUUCCUGCCAUACCAGUUAACUCAAGUGGCUUAGUUUUUUUGCCUACUGACUCUUGUUGGUGUACUUCCUCCAUAUCCUCAUCAAAAAACAGCAUCUUCCUUUUCCCAUUACCUAUAAGAUUAGUUUCCUGUUCAUUCCUCUCUUUCAGAGGCCUUCUUGUUUUGAUUGGUGACUUCAGCUUCUUGUAUGACCUUUUAACUUGCUUUUUAAUGGCUCCCUGCACCUUAUCAUUACUAUGGGGCUCCUCCUGCAAUACUGCCUCCAGUACUGGUAUCUCUUGAAUCUAUUUUCUUGCUCCAGCCAUCUUGAACUCAUAUCUCUGUCCUCCUCCAUUUCCUCCACUUCUAUUAGAGUCAGAUUCUCCUCAACUUUGUCCUGUACUAUCAGAGAGAGGUCCUGCUUUUCCUUAGUCAAGGGCUGGAAGUCAUCUCUGAGAGCUCGUUCCAUACCACUAGUUCCCACCUUAUUUGAAGGGCCACUUUGAUCUUUUCCUACCCUUAUAUCCUCCUGCUAUUUCAUUAAAUCCUGAUUGCUUCUAGAUCCUAGACCUGUGGUCCUCAGUGUCUCCAGGAGUUUCUCUCCAGAAUGCAUCCUAUUCCUUUCCUUCUCAACCAUUUCCCCAUUCUGAAACUUCUAAUACCUCUUAUCUUUCACCAUUUCCUCUCUCACUAUUCUAUCCUUAGUUCGACUUCUGGUACUUCCUGCUCUCAACCAAGGGCCAUGUUGGUGCUCUAGUAGGCUUCCUGAAGUAGUUCUUUGCUCUUUACACGUAUGUUCCCCAUGCCUUACUAUUCCGCAGCUAUAACAGAAAUAUGGGCAUCUUUUAUACUUAAAAGCUACCCAUUUGAGUGACUCUGCUACGUGCACCAAUGUUCCUCUGAGAAGGGGUUUAGACAAAUCUACAAGAGCUAGCAUUUUCAAAUGUCUGCCCUCUUUUCCCCCUGCCUGAGGGACAAUGACCUCUUUAACUUCUUUAAAAACUGCUCCUAUCUUUCUCCCUACCUCCUUGGAGAGCCAAUGCACUGGCAGAUUCCAAAUUUGUACCCACAGAGGUGCAAGCUCCAUAGUUAUCUUCUAUCCCUUCUGACCAUCUGUUCAGCACUAGGAUUUGAUUAUCCAUUAUCCAAGGGCCUCCUAUCACUAUUCUUUCUUUCUCUUCUAAGUUGGGGAUAUUGAAUUGGAACAAGUUCGGUCCCAGCUCCAUUACUGUCAGAUUCCUGGGGUAGCUCCAUGCUCAUGCUGCAGUCACAAAGUUCUUCACCCCCGUAAAGUUUGCAAUUUUCUCUCCUAUUAUUCUUCCUAUCAGACUUCCUUCACAAUCUCUCACCCUACUAUUAAGAUCCUCAAGCUCCAGCUUAGCUCCAGAUAUCUCAUUCCCCUCCAGUGAGAAUUAUCGUAACAACUCAGUCAGAUCUCCCUCCAUUGAUGUACCAAAGAUGCUAACGGGUAUUCCCUCUACGUACUUAGGAAAUUAUGCCUUUUCACCUUCCAAUUAGGUUAAAGACUAAGACACGAAACAAAGAGAAACAAAAAAUACGAAAACAGAAGACAAAGACACUACUGGACAAAAACUACCUUACUAAAAGGAAACCAGGAAAACAGCAAGGUCAAGAGUGACUACACAACAAGAAUCCAAAGAGCAUAGAAAAAACAAAGACACGGCCAGACAUGUACUACCUCAGUAAAGGGAGCAAGGAAAAGUAAAGGUGAAUCAAGAUUUACCUGGCUUUCAGCUUACCAUAAAGUGUUGUUUUUAAGUUGUCUGUUGUUCCCUCUGGAGAGACCUCCUUAAAUAACCCUGAGUGCGGUAGUUGAGCUGCUUUAAACUAGCAUUUGGUGCAGAUCAGAUUGGUAGUGGUGAUGUUUGUGAAAUUUUUGUGCAAAAGUGCGGGUUAGUGCCUAGUGGGAAAUUUUGAAAAAGUUUGAAACAUUGAUGAACUCCCACCAAAAGGGAGGUGAGCUCUUAUACCAAGAGAGAGCUUCCUCUACACAAUGAGACGAUUUCCUUUGAAAUUGUUUGGGUUAAUUUGCUGUUUUUGCCUUAUAAGUCAUUUACUCACAUUCAUAUUCACAAAGUUAGGUUACUUUUUAUCCAAGUACAAGUACUUUUCUUACAAUCGUUAAUUAAUAUAUACUAGUGAUUAAAUAAAUUUUCUUAGAUGGUAUCAUAAUAAAGAUAGUGAUUGACGAAUUGAAUUUAUUCAACCUCUAAGAUACAUGGGGAGGGUUGGAUUGGAUUGUAAGGGGGAGGGAUUGUACGUAGGAGGUUUUGGGUUCAAGACCUCUUACUUACCCAAAAAAAUCCUCUAGGAUACAUAUUGGAAAAGAAUAAUUUUUUCUGAGUUGAUUAGCAAUGUGGACUAUAGUCAAUAUUGAUAUGCACUUUAAUGUUUCUCAAUAUGCACUUUUGAUAAACGCAAGGGUAAAAUAGAGAAAUCACUAAAAGGUUUUUAUGCGAGGACAAUGAAACAUCAAAUUAUUGGAAUUUUUUUUGAUGUAUUGUAACCAAUUGAAUAACUUGACUUCAAUUUAAGGCCAAAUAAACAUUUUUCCUAUACAGAAUGAGACACUUUACAUACAAGUUAGGGUCCUUUUUAUACAAGUACUUUUCUUAUAAUUGUUAAUUAUGUAAAUUAAUGAUCAAAUAAAAUUCAAGUGGAUGGCUGAAUAUUAGCUCCUAAUUAUACAUUUUUGAAAUAACAAAAUUGCAAGAAACAAAUCUCAUAAUAAUCACUAACUGAUUUUUUAAAUAUAUUAUGCCAAUCACAGUGGAUUUGAGAUCAAAGAAGCAUUUUAGGUUUACAAAAUUUGUAUUUCACAUACAAAUUAGAGUAUUUUUUUUAUUUUUGUUACAGUAGUGAAUCAAUUUAAGAUAAUAUUAAUUUUUGGUUGACUGUUCAAGUGGUGCUUACUAAUGUUGAAUUCAAGAUUGAACAAAUAUUUUCUUAAUACAAAACCAAUACUUUGUGUAUACAACUUAAAAAAUCAUUUUUUUGACAAAAAUAAUUUUACUAACAGAUUGUUGAAAAUCGUCCAACACGAUUUGAUUUACAUUAGUGUCUUAAUGCUAGGUUAAACAUACACUACACAUUACAGAUAUACAAUUUAACAGAUAUAAUGAACUUGAAAAAUUGUAAAUAGAUCUGAAAAAUAUAAGAAAUUUUAAAAUUGUUUUCUAAUAGAUAAAUCGUUGCAAUUUUCUUCUAUGCAUAUUGCAAUAACAACUUAGGCAAUCAUUAAUAAUUAAGUGAUUAGUGUCUAAUUUUGGAUUCGAAUUUGGGCAACGCUUGUGCACAUUUAUAUUCACUGGAGUGCGCAUUCAUAUUCACAAAAUUGCGCUUAUGUAGUUGCAAUUAUAAAUCGGAUGGUAAGAAGCAAUAAAGAGAAAUGUCAUCGACAUUCUAAAGCAAGUUAUAGUAGCUUACCCUUUUUUUUAUUUAUUGAAGUGCACAUUUAUGUUCAUUAGAGCGCGCACACACAUAUGAACAAAUUAUCUAAUUUAGGCGAUAUUGAAAUAUGUUUCUCUGCUGGUCAGAAUUUGCACAUCUUCAACAAACUUCAACCCUUAUCAAAAUUCAAGAAAAAAUUACUAUAAUCCGAAUAAGAACUGGAACUUGCUUAUGAAAAUCAAUCACACCAAUUAAAAGAUUACAACUACUGAUAUUUGAAUGAGAACAAAAUCCUAGGUAAGAGAAACAGAAUUUCCUCUCUUUUGUCCGGAAAGCAGUCUUGAGUUCUGCUAGAACUAAAAGUUUGCAUUCAGGAAAGUCCAAAUAUUGGAUAACUUUGUACAGCAAUUAUUGACCUCUAAAAUUCCCCUGCAAAUGCUUCUAGUGCAUCUAUUACAUGCAGAGAGAAAUGAAGCAAAAGUAGUACAACUAGCAGGAGCAGCAGUGUACCUAAUGAAGCAGCUGCUUCUUCAGACUGAGCAAUGGAAACAAUUACCGCAGAAGAAGUUCUUCUCUUCAUCAUCAUCUUCGUCAUCGUCUUCUGGUCUGAAAUAAAUUAAUUAGUGGGAUUUUUCAGGCAAAUACUGAAGUUUGGUUGUUGAAUUUUAUUUUCAAAGCUAACUUCAAGCAAUUGCACUUUUAUUUUUUUCUCAAUUUCGACGUCGUCACGGUGUCGGAUAGGAAAGCCCAAUCAAAAGCCUGGCAUGGCCCACACUUCUAUUUUUGAAGGGAUAUUUUGUAAAUGGUGUAAUUAUCGGACUCGACAUUACUAAAUCAUAUAGUUGGUUAUGAACGAAGAUGUUGUAGUUAUUAUUGCUGACGGGUUUUUACUUUAAGUGCAAGUUUAAUUCCGAAUUUACACCCGUUGGACUGCAAGUAUACAGGUCGCAAUUGUAGUACGAGAUGUGUAUCGGGUCGAUCCCACGAGGAGCAAUUUAAAACAAUUAUUAGAUACUAAUUUACUCUAUUAUUUAGACUCACAAUUAAUUUGAGCAGAAACUUCAGAUUUUAAUUCAACUACAAAAAUUCUUAAAUAGAUAAAUGCAAUUUCACAAUAGGAGUAGAAUUCACUAAAUAUUAAGAUCUAGGGAUGUAGAUUCCACUUAUGACACAAAAGAUCUAAAAUGAAUUAAUUCAACACUUGUUACUGCUCUUGUUUAACCAAGGAUUCAUUUCCAGAAAUACUAAAAUCACAUUCUCAUGAUAAUAAUGGGUUAAAACAGAUUAGUUUGUCCUAAUCUCUUGGUAAAUACUAAAUCUGUUCUUAUUCACACAUGAAAUGCAGAUUUCAUCCACUUGAAUGUAUUUCUAUUCUCAUGAAUAUACAACUCAAGUUCUACUUGUGUCAUUCCAUUAUUUUUACCAUUUCUUAAUGAAUAAAAACAACUAUAAACCUGCUAUUGGUGAUCAAGCAACAACAAGUAAUCAAGCAUACACAAGUAGACAAGUUAAUACAAGACAUAACAAGCAUAAAUCACAAUCACUUCAUAUCAUUUGGCCAUAAGCUUCAUCUACUCCCUAGAUAAAGGAAAUUAGCUACUCAUGAAUGAUGAAACACUCAUAACUUCAUUAAUGUAAAUCAUCAUGAAUUACAAAUACAAACAGAGUAAAGAAAGUCUUAGCCAAGAUAUGGUGAAGCCUUCCAAAAAUCUCCUUUGUCUUGAACUUAGAUGAUUACAAGAUGAAAUCCCAAUUGCCCCUUGCAAGUCCUAGGUAGAGAGAAUAUGUUUUUCUGUCAAGAAGCUAAGCUACGAAUGGAUGUCCCAGACCUCUCCCCAUAUCUCUGCAUAAAAAAACACUCAAAGGCUCCAUUUUUCCAAGUCAAAUUCUAUCCUUUGAUUCCCAAAUCUCCACUUUGUUAGCAUAGUCAAAAACCAAUAUUUUUGACUUGAAAAUAAGCCACUUUUCUUGCCCUUUUGUCUUCUGAAGCAUGUGCACCGAAUUCCCUUGCAUCUUAUAGCUGGAAAGUGGUAUGAACACAAGAGAAUUGGCUGAGUCAAAUUGCAGAAUUUCGGCUAUAAAACGCGCCUACACAAAACGCGGCACAAGUCGCGUUUUGUGUACUCGCGUUUUCACUCUGGCCUUAUUCAUCUGCGAUUUUCUCUAUCAUAAAGGCCGAACUAGCUUUUGUGCAAAACACAAAAGUUGUAGCCCUUUGAGUUAGCUUUCCAAUGCUUCAAGAAUCAUCCAAAUCGGAGCUUUGUAGCCUGAGAUAUGAUCGAAAUACUGUCACCUGUUCAAACCUCUGUUUUAACUUCCGACCACAGAAUGCAGCUUCUGUAUUCCAACGUUUUGUCCAUGAAGAUGGCAGAAAUGGAUUUCGAUGUCUUCAUACGAAUUGUAGGUCUCUUUCUUAGCUUUAAAAUGGUAUAAAGAUCACCUCAAUCCGAUAUGUGUAGCUCCAGAUAUGGUCAAAAUACUGAAGAGUGUCAAAACUGACUUGUAUUGCAUUUCCUCACUUGAACGUUUUUCACUUCAUUCUUCUUGUUGCCACUUAAAUUCAUCACCAAAUCUCUAUUUUUCACCUCAAUUGACCUCCUUUGGUGAUUGAUUCAUUAUUCCUGCAUAAAAAUGAAGUUUUUACUAUUAAAAUCAAUAGAAAUGCAAUAUUAUCCACUUUUACCAAAAAUAUAUAAUUUUACCAAAAACCUCUUUAUUUUAAUUAUAAAACUAAAUAAUCAACUCAAAAUUAACUAAUAAAAUGCACUUAAAAAUACGUAAAAUAAACUCUUAUCAAAUACCCCCACACUUGAAUCAUUGCUUGUCCUCAACCAAUAUAAAAUUCUAACCAUCAAUGAUCCAAAAAAAUUGAAAAUAAACAUAUGUAGUAUUUCAACUCCAUUUCCUUGAAUCAAGGUAAAUAACCCUUAUGUGAUCUUUCCAUUAAGUUCAAGUACUCAUAAUAUCAAGCAAAGAAGAGCCAAGUAUACCAUAAUUUUGCCAAUUCAACUCAACUUCUUAUUUUUAUCCAAUUUCGCAAGCAAGCAACUCCUAUAGUCAAUAAAGAUGCUAACUAAUCUCAUGAUCAACUUCUUAUUUUUCUUAAAGAGGGAUUUAAUUUACUUUUUAUUUAUUUAUUUAUUAUUAUUUUAUUUUUUUUAUAUUUUAAGGGUUAAAUAUUACUUAAGUUGUGAAAAAUGCCUUUUGACGCGAAGAUCAACAUUUUUAGAUGCAGAUCCCCGGUUACUCAACAUUUCACAUACUCAAGUUGCUUUGCAUACUCUUAAUUCAAGUACCUUUUUACGCGAAUGUCGACAUUUGUAGAUGCCAACCCCCGGUUACUCGGUAUGAGAAUCAUUGGAGUAGAAUAACCCUUUUUUUUUUUAAUAUAUAUAUAUAUAAUAAAAUUCCCUCUAAGAGUAAUCAUGAGAAGAGUAUGACACUUAUUAACCAUAUUAAUUUCUUAUCUUAUAAAAUUAGAUAAAAAGAAGAAUUUUCAUCAAAUAUACAAAAUGUAGGCAUAAUUUUCUCCAUUUUACUAGAUAUACUUUCCUAUAGAUGUAAAAAUUAUAAUCACAUAAAAAUCAUUUCCAAAUUUCAUGAGAAAAGAAGUAUCAAAACCGCAUAUAUUUAUUUUAAAAGGAUAAGUGACAACAUUUUAUUUAUUUAUUAUAGUUAAUAACAUAUAUGUGUAUAAGGUUUUGGAAAAAUUUUGACAGAAUCUCCCCUUAAAAGUGGACUAAAACUCCCUGCCAGCAACCACAAGAAACACCAUUUAAGCACAAGAAUUAUAUCAAACACAACUAAAACCACAAGUAUCACACAUAUUUCUCCCCCCACACUUAAAUUACACAUUGUCCUCAAUGUGUAGGGAAGAAAUGAAACAAAAGAAGAAAAGAAAAGAAAGAAGUACUCCCCAAGUCAAUGGCUGAGAUCCUUAUCAGCCACUAAUCACGAACCACUGUCAAAAUACAAGUACCUACCACAUAGAAAACAGAAAAAUAAAAUGAAGUUAAACAUCUUAAGUUCCACAAGUUAAGAUAAUUAGGCAAGCAAGUUCAUCAACUAAAGAUAGCUUCUGCAGUGUGCCAAGUCAGUCAUCUCCCUCAGCAUCAUCGUCAUCCUGUGCAUCACGAUUGGGCGGUGGAUGAAUGCCCAAAUGAUCUUCAAUUCGGCUUAGACGAUUCCUAACGUCAGCGAACUGGAAUGCAAAGUCCUCCAUAUGAUCAAAAAGUCGCUGCCAAUUAGUUUGUGGUGGAGGAGGAGGUGGUGCUGCAGUAGAAGGUCCAGCUUCAUCCCGACCAUGUCUAGCCUUUUGUCUCCGCUCCUGAACAGGGCGUGGAAUGUCUCCCGUGCCAAUACCAAGGCGGCGAAGAGUAGUGAUAGUCAUCUCAGCACGUGGUGGAACAUACUCCCGCCGCAUGCCUUCCAACGGAACUUCAAAACGGGGGAAGAUUAAAGUCAGUAGACGAGGAAAUGAAAGUUUGAAGGAAGUUGUCUUACGCCUCGCCGUAGACCUAAUGUGGCUGAUGAUGAUGUUAGGCAAUGAAAUCCGAGCAUAUGGAGAUGUCCGGUUAUGGAACAUGUAAUCCAAGAAGUAGAUAUCGCUCUUGCGGACGUCCGUGUGCCCCGUCUUCUUUGGGAUGACAUUGUGAGCCAUCAUGUAAAUGAUAAGACGAUGACGAGGUUCGAAUACAUUCGCCAAUAUGGUCUCCUUUCUGGUAGAGCGAAAAGGUUGGUACUCGAGACCAAACCUAGCCAUGGCCAAUGAAGGAUCCCAUCUCCUAUUCGGGGGAACAAACUCCUUCUUCAAGUCUACUGGACGUCCGUCAUCCAUACACCCCAAAAUAGCAGCCAAAUCUUGCCGUGACAAGGUGAUUCGUCUUCCACGCACCCAGGACUCAACUAUUUCUCCACUAUGGCGCGCCUUACUUUCAAUGUUGGCGUAAAACUCGCGCACCAAGUCUGGGUAGUAAUGGUUUGGAAGGGUGAGAAUCGGAGCCCAUCCUAGCUGAGCAAAAGCCUCUGAGAUGUUGUACAUCAUCUCAACUGGUGGACUGACGUGCAUCUCAAACAAAAACUCCAAAUUAGCACGCGCCUCAUGCCACUCCUGAUUCCUGCGAGUAUUGAACCUAGCACUGUCAAAUACCGAUUUUUCCGCUCCACGGGAGGUGCCCUCACCAGGUCGACGGUUAAUUGGUGGAGGAGAAGGUGAAUUCUCCUCUUCAGUCACCUCCAUCUCUUCAUUAACCUCCCUCUCCUCACUACUAGAGGAUGAAAGUACCGCUCUUCUUCCCCUUGGCAUAGUACCUAAAAAAUCUUUCAAUUAUCCACAUGUACUACAACUCAUUAUUUGGCAACAAAAGUUCAGCAUUAAUCCAAAUAACCUCAAAUACAAUUGCUCAAGUUCUAAUCAUUCAAUGAUCGUACAAGACAUAUUUUCUGCCUAAAGUUGCCCAAAAUCACCAAAUUACACAAGAUAUGUAUCAAUUAUAAUUUAAUUAGUGAAAAUAGGAACAAUUAUGAUUAUAACUAUUUAGAAUUAACAAUAAUAAUAUGCUUUUAGCUAUAAUCAUGUUUAGGCAAAAAUUAAACUAAUUAACUCACCAAAUUACUCACUAUACACAAUGCACAUGCUUAAACAUCAUCAACUAACCAUUUUUAACCAUAAUUUAACAUCACCAAUGGCUCAAAAACAUCCUAAAUCCAUUUUCCAAUUUCCUCCAAAUAUAGCAAUUGUGAAUUUUGAAAGCAAUAAUGACCAACAACUUGCUACAUUUAAACAUGUAAACAUACUUAAACAAUCUUAAUAAGCAUGAAUAAAUUCAAAAAUGGUCAAAUACAUCAUCAAAUUUUCGACAUUAAAAGAUGUCAGAGAGCUCAGGAUAAAAAAAUAUGACUUUCUAAAAUCAAAAGAUUUGAUGAAGAAACUUACCUCAAUCACGUAGAAGGAUGUUUGGUGAUGCUAAAAAUGUCAAAAGCCUUAUGAAACAACCUCCAAUUGACCUCCAAUUGAAGAAAUUAGAGUUUAAGAACCCUAACCUUCAAUCCCUCAAAAACCUGAUUUUAGGUGUUUUUCUUGGAUUUUAAUCGGUUAAAAAGGGUAUAUGAAGCUCAAAAGGUGUUGGGGUGAUGCUUUCUAGCAAGAUUAUGGAGUAAAAAUAAAGAUUUGUGAGUUGGGUAGAAGAGAAGAAGAAAAGAGCGCCUGAAAAAUUAAGAAGAGAGGAAAAAAAUGAAGCUGAAAUCGCGUUUCUGAAGGCUAUAUUCAGACACAUAAAACGCGACUAAAAACGCGCCUUCAACUCGCGUUUUUAAAGUCGCGUUUCCUACACAAAUCUUGCAGGACUGAAAACGCGGUUACGUAUGAAAACGCGACUUAAAGUCGCGUUUAUCUGUGUCGCGUUUUCCAGUUUUGCUCAGGCGAGAAAACGCGACUUCCUCCAAAACGCGACUUCAAGUCGCGUUUUAAAGGCGCGUUUUCUGUUCUGUAGGCGCAGAAUUGAAAACGCGAUUCUGAGAAACGCGACUUUUAGUCGCGUUUUAUUGGAAAACGCGUUUUCUGCCUCGAUUUUUAGCAGAAUUUCAACUUUUGAAAAAUUACAAAAGGUACCCCAAUGACUCAAAAUGCAUCAUAGAUCAUUUGUUUGCCAAUUUUAAUGACUGGAACAAAUGUAAAACAUUAAAAACAUGCAUUUUACCCCUUUAUAAUGAAUCAAAAACACCUUUAACGCAAAUCGAGGGGUUGAGUUGCUUGAUCAAAGUUUGCCCUUUUCACCUCAAAUGGUCAUUCUUGCUUCCAUUUGCCAACCCUAUAACACAAAAACAACAAAUUAACUAAAACACUUAUUUAAGUCUAAAAAUCACAAAAAAUUAACACAAAUAACAUAAACAUUGGGUUACCUCCCAAUUAGCGCUUUUGUUUAUAGUCGUUGGCUCGACUGAAAGAGUUGAAUCACUUUAGAGCAUUAGGGAGCGAUUUUCUCCCCAUGGGUCGAAACUCCCGAGCCAAUCUACCAUGUGGUGAACCAUGCAUUGAUCUUCAUAGUCCAAUUUCCUCAAAUACCAAGGAGGAAUAUUAGACUUGUCAUAGAGAGGCUCAACUUCACCUUGGAGUGGAUUUUGCUUGUCUUUUCUGAAUUGGCUCAAAUUUUCACCAUUUCCUUCAUGGAAUGGCGAAUUUAUUAAGCCAACUUCCAUCCUUAUCUUCUCCUCCUUUGUUCCUACACCAUGAAAGUUAGUACCAAGGACAUUUAUAAAUUUAACUUCUUCGGUCCUUUCUUGGUUAACCUUUUCAUCAUAUGGCAUAUUAGAAACAAGAGCAGUAGGCUCUAUACUCCCUUCUUUAUUAUCCAAAUUGAAUUCCAAUUCCUCACCAUUAACCCGUAAUAUAAGCUUACCUUUUUCUACAUCAAUUAUAGUUCGUGCAGUGGCUAAAAACGGUCGUCCUAGAAUAAUUGGCAUUCUCACAUCUUCUUCAAUAUCUAAGACAACAAAAUCCACAUGUAUUAUAGAUUGUCUUACCUUUAUGAGCACAUUUUCCAAAAUACCCAUGGGACGUGUGAUUGACCGAUCCGCCAAUUGCAAUGUAAUAUUGGUAGCUUUUAGCUCUUGAAGUCCCAAUCUCCGGGCAACCGAUAACGGCAUAAGUGACACACUUGCACCUAAAUCACAUAAAGCAUUAGAAAAAUGCAAUUGACCAAUAGUGCAAGGAAUAGAAAAACUUCCCGGAUCUUUCAAUUUAGGAGGGAGUUUAUUCUUAAUCAAUGCAUUACACUCUUCCGUUAAUGCUAUCAUCUCAUUAUCUACAAUUUUCCUCUUCUUUGACAUGAUGUCUUUCAAGAAACGUGCAUAAGAGGGAAUCUGUGUUAUAGCAUCAAUGAAAGGAAUGUUAAUGUGCAAUUGUUUAAACAUUUUGAAGAACUUUUCAAACUCCCGAUCCUGUCCAUCUUUCUUCAACCUGUAAGGAAAAGGUAUCACAUUAGAAUUUAAUUUGGGAUGAAGUGCAUCAAUAUCAAUGAUAACAUGAUCAUUUUGACUUUCUUGCUCCCCUUCAAUUGCUUGCUUCUUGUCUUUUUCACCACCUGAAUUUUCAAAAUCGAAUCUCUCAACCGUUUUACCGCUUCUAAGAAUGAUUGCAUUGACAUGCUCUCUCGGAUUCACUUCGGUUUUACUUGGUAAUUCACCAAGGUUUCUAUUGUUGAUCACAUUGGCAAUUUGACCAAUUUGAACCUCCAAGUUUCUGUACAUCCCAGCUAAUUGGUCCAACCGCCCCUCAACUCGCUCGAAUCUAUCCGAAGUCACCUUAGCAAGUUUUUCCAUUGCGAUCUCCCAACUUGGUUUAGUUUCAGCCUGUGGUUGCCUUGGUUGAAAUCCCGGCGGAUUGGUUGGCCUUUGUUGAUUGCCUUGAUCUUUCCAUCCAAAGUUUGGAUGAUUUCUCCACCCCGGAUUGUAAGUAUUCGAGUAGGGAUUAUUUGGAGCAUUUCGGUUGUAAUUAUUGACAAAUUGUACCUGCUCAGAAUCAACACACUCAUUAAUAUCAUGUUCACCUCCACAGAAAGAGCAACAAGCUACGUGUGCAUUAGAUGAACUUGGACCAACUCCACCUUGUCUACUUAGCAAUUUCAUCACAUUAUUCAUUUGAGUACUCAGCAUAUUGAGAGUGUCCAUUUCUAUCAUACCUGCGUGACGUCUCGUAUUACCUCUUUCAUUGGCCCAUUGGUAGUUAUUUGCUGCCAUUUCUUCUAUCAAAUUAUGAGCCUCUUGGGGUGAUUUACCCAUUAAAGCUCCACCUGCGGCUGCAUCAAUAAUAGUUUUAGUGGAGAAAGAUAAACCAUUAUAAAAGGUUUGUAUAAUCAGCCAUUCGGGUAGUCCAUGGUGUGGACAUUUCCGUAACAAAUCUCUAAACCUUUCCCAUGCUUCAUAUAAUGAUUCUCCUUCCAUUUGACUAAAACCAGUGAUAUCCAUUCUUAGCUUAGCAGUCUUACCAGGUGGAAAAUACUUAUUCAAAAAUGCCCUUGAUAAAUCAUCCCAUGUGGUAAAAGUGUUAGGAGCAUGAGAGUGUAACCACAUUUUUGCCUUAUCUCUUAAUGAAAAUGGGAACAACCGUAACCUUAUAGCAUCAUCACUAACUCCAUUCAUUUUAAUUGUAUCACAUAUUUCUAAGAAUGUAGCUAAGUGUGAGUUAGGAUCUUCUACAGCAUUACCUCCAAAUUGAGAUUGUUGAACCAUUUGGAUAAGUGAUGGCUUAAUCUCAAAGUUGUUAGCAUUUACCGUAGGCCUUACUAUGCUUGUUUGAGAUCCUUGUGUUCCCGGUAGAGCAAAAUCUCGUAGAACUCGCCUAUUUGCUUCAUUUUCAGCCAUUUCUUCUUCAAAUGGUAGUUCUAUCAAGAUUUCCUCUAUAGGUUGCCAAAUCUCUUGUUCCUCUUUCUGUUGUGUGUGCCUCCUUUGUCUACGUAGUGUCCUCUCAAUUUCUGGAUCGAAAGGUGCGACUUCUCGAGACUCCCGGUGCAUACACUACAAACAGAAAUAAGGGAUAUUAUGCAACUUCAAUGGUAAAAACACUGAUUAUAAUAUAAGAUUAAAUAUAAUCUAAAAAAUAAAGCUGUCUAAAUUAAUAAAGAUGAUUAGGCUCUAAUAUUGCCGCUCCACGGCAACGGCGCCAAAAACUUGACGGGUUUUUACUUUAAGUGCAAGUUUAAUUCCGAAUUUACACCCGUUGGACUGCAAGUAUACAGGUCGCAAUUGUAGUACGAGAUGUGUAUCGGGUCGAUCCCACGAGGAGCAAUUUAAAACAAUUAUUAGAUACUAAUUUACUCUAUUAUUUAGACUCACAAUUAAUUUGAGCAGAAACUUCAGAAUUAAAUUCAACUACAAGAGUUCUUAACUAGAAAAUUGCAAUAUCUCAAGGGGAGUAGAAUUCACUAAAUAUUAAGAUCUAGGGAUGUAGAUUCCACUUAUGACACAAAAGAUCUAAAAUGAAUUAAUUCAACACUUGUUACUGCUCUUGUUUAACCAAGGAUUCAUUUCCAGAAAUACCAAAAUCACAUUCUCAUGAUAAUAAUGGGUUAAAACAGAUUAGUUUGUCCUAAUCUCUUGGUAAAUACUAAAUCUGUUCUUAUUCACACAUGAAAUGCAGAUUUCAUCCACUUGAAUGUAUUUCUAUUCUCAUGAAUAUACAACUCAAGUUCUACUUGUGUCAUUCCAUUAUUUUUACCAUUUCUUAAUGAAUAAAAACAACUAUAAACCUGCUAUUGGUGAUCAAGCAACAACAAGUAAUCAAGCAUACACAAGUAGACAAGUUAAUACAACAUAUAAUAAGAAUGAAUAACAAUCAAUUCAUAUCAUUUGGCCAUAAGUUUCAUCUACUCCCUAGAUAAAGAAAAUUAGCUACUCAUGAAUGAUAAAACACUCAUAACUUCAUUAAUGUAAAUCAUCAUGAAUUACAAAUACAAACAGAGUAAAGAAAGUCUUAGCCAAGAUAUGGUGAAACCUUCCAAAAAUCUCCUUUGUCUUGAACUUAGAUGAUUACAAGAUGAAAUCCCAAUUGCCCCUUGCAAGUCCUAGGUAGAGAGAAUAUGUUCUUCUGUAAGAAGCUAAGCUACGAAUGGAUGUCCAGACCUCUCCCUAUAUCUCUGCAUAAAAAAACACUCAAAGGCUUAUUUUUCCAAGUCAAAUUCCAACUUUUGAUUCCCCAAAUCUAACUUUGUUAUAAUUGUCAAUAACCAAUGUUUUUGACUUGAAAAUAAGCCACCUUUCUUGCCCUUUUGUCUUCUGAAGCAUGUGCACCGAAUUCCCUUGCAUCUUAUAGCUGGAAAGUGGUAUGAACACAAGAGAAUUGGCUGAGUCAAAUUGCAGAAUUUCGGCUAUAAAACGCGCCUACACAAAAUGCGUCAAAAACUCGCGUUUUAUCUACUCGCGUUUUCACUCUGGCCUUAUUUCAACUGCGAUUUUCUCAUUGAUAAAGGCCAAACUAGCUUUUGUACAAAACAUAAAAGUUGUAGCCCUUUGAGUUAGCUUUCCAAUUCUUCAAGAAUCAUCCAAAUCUGAGCUUUGUAGCCUGAGAUAUGAUCGAAAUACUGUCACCUGUUCAAACCUCUGUUUUAACUUCCGACCACAGAAUGCAGCUUCUGUAUUCCAACGUUUUGCCCAUGAAGAUGGCAAAAAUGGAUUUCGAUGUCUUCAUACGAAUUGUAGGUCUCUUUCUUAGCUUUAAAAUGGUAUACAGAUCACCUCAAUCCGAUAAGUGUAGCUCCAGAUAUGAUCAAAAUACUGAAGAGUGUCAAAACUGACUUGUAUUGCAUUUCCUCACUUGAACGUUUUUCACUUCAUUCUUCUUGUUGCCACUUGAAUUCAUCACCAAAUCUCUAUUUUUUACCUCAUUUGACAUCCUUUGGUGAUUGAAUCAUCAUUCCUGCAUAAAAAUGAAGUUUUACCAUUAAAAUCAAUAGAAAUGCAAUAUUAUCCACUUUUACCAAAAAUAUAUAAUUUUACCAAAAACCUCUUUAUUUUAUUUAUAAAACUAAAUAAUCAACUCAAAAUUAACUAAUAAAAUGCACUUAAAAAUACGUAAAAUAAACUCUUAUCAAUUGCAACACUUAAGGUAAAUUUGAUAGUAGUUUGGAUUGUAAAUUAUUUGAGAUAAUUUUGUAAAAAAAGUACUGUAACACUUUUUUGAUAUGAUGUAUGCGAGAUAAAAAAAUGAUUGAAAAAUGUGUUGAUGAUGUAAGCAAGUUAGUAUUUGUAAAUAAGGUAUAAAUAAUGUAUAAUAAUUUACAAUCCAAACACAACAUACUUGAACAUAGAAUUUGGUGCAAUUAAAUACUAUCCUAAUAAGGAAAAGUUUUGAGCCAUGUAGCAAAUCUUGACCCUGGUUGACACAUUGGAUAUUUUGCCUAGUUUUUCUCUUACAAGUUUUUUAAUAAUUUUAAUUAUAGUAAUCUCAAAAAACUCUUCAAAAUUUUUAAAUUACCUUUCAAAAUACCCAAAAACACAAAAAAAAAAAUUUUUCCUUCCUAUUUCCUUCUUUUUCCUCCCCCACCUCGACCUACCAUUACCUCCGCCGCCGACAAAACCGGUUGACGCUAGCCAUCUCUUUUUUUUUUUCCUCUUCUCCUCCUCCCUCUUCUCCGUCCUUCUCUCCUCUCCUCCCUUGUCCUCCUCUCUCCAGCCACCUUUCUCUCCCCUCUCCUUCCCUCUUUACUCGAUGUGGUCUCAUGACCAGAUCGUGCAAGGGAGAGGAAUAGGGAGAGGGAGAAGAGGAGAGAGAGAGAGAGAGAAAAAAAAGCAAAAAAAAAAACUUGCUACCGUUGUCGGUGUCGAUGCUGAUAGGCGGCAGCAACUUGAGGCAAUCGUGAGGUGAGGGAGAAGAAGAAAAGAGCAAAGAAAAGGAAAGCAAAAGAAAGAAAAAGAAAAGGAAAAAGAAAAGGAAAGGGAAAAAGAAAAGAAACAAAAGUUUUCCAUCUUAAAAAUUUUUUCUACAAAUUCUACAGUAAGUUACAGUGAAAUUUUAGGUAAAUACCCAAAAAACUCAUUUACCAAACGGUGCUCUUAUUAAAGACAAGUUUAAGAAUGUAAUUUAGCCAAGUUAUUUGACUUGAAUUCGGGAGUAGCUUUGCAGCUAUUCUUCUUCAAUUGCAUUGAAUAUUUCAUUGACAUUUGCAAUUCAAUUAUACAUAUAUAUAUAUAUAUAUAUGUAUGUAUAUGUAUGUAUGUAUGUAUGUAUAUGUAUGCAUUGAAUAUUUCAUUGACAUUUGCAAUUCAAUUAUACAUAUAUAUAUAUAUAUAUAUAUGUAUGUAUAUGUAUGUAUGUAUGUAUGUAUGUAUAGACAUUGUUAAAGAAAAAUAGCAAAUUUAGAGAAAGAAAAACAAGUUUAGAAAAUUUAAAUAUGAGGGUAUUAUUGACAAUUCAUCACGUUUGAUAUUAGUAUAUGGCCCUACUAUCACUUCAAGGGUGCUAAGUGAGAUUUUAAAAAGUUUAGGGGAGCUAAAUGAUAUUUCAUGAAACCUCAAGGGAGGUUUCUGAAAUUAUCCCUAUUACAUUUAAUAUUGAUUGAAUAGUUGCACAGCAUUUUGAAUCUUACUCCCACUUUAUGAACUUUUGAAAAGUCCCCCACCAUUUUUGAAUAUUGGUUCUUCCGGUUUCCAUCUCCUAAAUUCUCCCAAAUAUUUAAGAUGAUGGGCAAUACUUCUUUUAAGGGGUAUUUUAUUUCUUCAGUUAUAUUUUUUCAGCUGGAAAAUUCAAUGUCGGGAUAAUAUCUCGCAUUUAUCAAGGUGUAUUUUCAUAAUUUUCCGGUAGAUAAUUGUUAGUUUACUAGGCAAGCUCUUGUUGCAGGGAUGACUUUAGCAAUUCAGCCCUGAUGAUGGCUUUUAUGCUAUCUAAUUGCUCUAGUUUUUUUCUGCCCUCCGCUAGUAGUCUAAGGGGCAAUCAAUUCCUUUUGACAAGGGAAUUACAGUUAAAAGUUCAUUUUAUUGCUCAAUUGGCAAGAUUUGUCUGGUGAGUUCGUGUUUGAAUUUUUUAAGAAAUGUUACGUGAAUAUUCGUAGUCGCAAUAGGUAUAGUUUAUCGGAGUUAUAUGCCUUGAUUUUUUGGUGUUCUUAAACUCCUAAUUAAGUUGGUGUUCACAAGGAUAAUUAAAUCACCACACGAAUUAAUGGGUUGCAAAGGCAUUGCGGCUUUUUACUAGAAAGCAAGGAAAAAAAGAUUUUUUCCCAUUGGGGAAUAUUGUCGAACACCUGGCGUGUGUCAGAGGCCAGUCAAAAGAAAGAAAACUAGAACUAAACUAAAAAGCUAAAACUAAAGCCCGUCCUUUGCUUCUGUACGUUGUCCCCUUUUAAAGAAACAAAAGAAAGAAGACUAAAAGCUAUCUAGAUGGUCCCCACACAUGUGGACAAAGCCUCCAAAGUACUUCUUGUUCCAAGUCUCUUUACGUUGCUUACUUUGAAGAGUCCAAAUGACUAAAUGCCUUUCACUAGCUUGUGGUCCCCACUAAUUCAAGGGCCAAGGGUUGAAGCCCUUAGAAGUCUCCAUUUUCUCCAUAAAGUCUCUCCUUUUUGGUAGUUUUCUGUUUCAUCCCUGAAAUUAAGUCCAAAUACCAAAUAUAAGUAGAUAUCAACAAUUAAUAUAAUAUUUGGCAGGGAUAAAAAGGGAAAUUAAUACUAAAAUUACUAACAGAUGAUUCCCUAUCAGUGUUCACAAGGAUAAUGAUGGUAUUCAUGAAAAAAUAUUUUAAGAUAUUAGUGCGAGCAAUUUUGAAUAUGGUAUUUACAUGUUAAAUUUUACGGAUGAUUGAGGCCUCAAUAAUGGAUCCCUUGAAGACCUAUGCUACGUGUCUAUUUUUUUUUUUAAAAAUGUUUAGAAGUGGCUUUGAAACAAUCUACAGUAGAGUUGCUGUAUUGCAACUAGAGAAAUCAUUAAUUCUAUUCUAUACAAAUAAAGUGUGAAUAAAUUCACACAAAAAAGUGUGGAAUGCUUUAGGGUAUUGUUUUUAUGUACUGUCAAUGUAUACUCAUACGAUAUUUUUUACGCAUUGUCAAUGUUCAACAUGGACACAUGUACAAAUUUUUGUUUCUGUAAAUACUACAAUAGCUAGUGCCUCUUCAAAAAAAAAAAAAAAAGAAACGGAGAAAGGCUUGAAAUUCUUUUCUAGGUUGUGUGUUCUUUGAUUUUAUAAAUCAAAAAAAAAAAAAAAAGUACAACGUCCAACCUAACAUCCAUGUGCCUUGUACUCUUUCUUUUGUACCUAAAUUAAUUCCAUCCUGUUGUCCUCAAAGGAAAUACGUGGUUAGAAUUUCAUUUGGGUAAAUAGCAAAACAAAUAAUGCAUUUUUCUAAUGGGUUAUUGCUUAAUAUCUGGCUUGUGGCGCCUGCUGCCUUCCUUAUAGUUGUUUAUCCACAAAUUUUGUCAACCCAAAAUGAAGGGAGCAAUGUCAAUUCUCUUCCUUCUCAGCCAUCUCUUAGUUAUUUCUAGAUUCGUGAAUGUUGUAUCAAAUGGGAAGACAAAAAAAAAGUAAACGGAAUUAUUUAGUCAAUAGCUAUUCUUUAAUUUGAAAUGACGUGUGUUAAUGAUAGAAGAUUAAGAAAAAAAAAUGUUAUCAUUAGCCUGUGGACUGGGCAAAUGGCCUAAGGCAUUAUAGUAUUUGGGUUGGUAUCUUGCCAGUGUUUGCAUCAUUUUAAUAAUCUUAUAGUCUUUUCUCUUCUUCUUGGAAGCAACUGGAUUAAUAAACUAAUCUUCUACAUUGUUUGCUCCUAGUUAUCUUCAGUCGCGAUAUUGAGCAAUACCAUUACAAUUGAUUGGAUGUAAGUCAAUCUUCAAUUGCAGUUCACUGAAUAAAAUGUAGAGAAUUACCCUUUGUAGUUUAUAGAUGAUGAAAGACAAAUUUCAUGAUGAAGUGCUAUACACACUGAGCCUAUACACUGAUUUUGUGCAAAGAUAGUGAUUCUUCCUUAUGUGUAUUUGUAUGUUGUACUUGGGAGAGAAUCAAUUUUGUGGGAAUGCAUUUUUUCACUAGGAAUGCAUUUUCAAGGCAGGCUGGGGAUUUUUUUCCUUUUUUUUUUUUUAAUGUAAAGUUCUUGAAGGACACAGGUUCGGGUUGAAUACAUUAAGCAAGACUUUGUUUGAACGUGUAUGGAACUGCUAAUUGGUAAUGCACAACAAAUUGUCCAUGGAAACUCUCUCUUGCUUGCAAUCAUAAGUCAGGUAAAUUGCCCAACUGGAGCCAUCAUGGGUACAUCCUUGGAAAAAUGAUAAAAUGUGAUAAAAGCAUACACCAGUCUAUCUCUUUCCUUUUUCAUCCACAAUCGCAAAAUCAUUCAACUAUGCUAGUGUUUGUACUUUAGCAUCCACUCCUACAUGUCCCUUACCAGUACAAGUUGGAUCAGUUAGUAAUAUCGUGCCACCUCCUUAUAAAAAAUCGUAUGUUUGAAUUCUGCUAUCUAUAUGAUGAUCGUAUUGGUGAGCAAUGUGUAAGAACUCCUAUAAAUGACUUAUAAUCUGGUAGACUUACCCCUAUCCAUGGCCAUGUUCACCAUUCAAAUUUUUUAUUAUUAAAAAAAAAAUCUUACAUGCCGCAUGUUCCAGUUGGUUAUACACGCAGGAUGCACUGAACAUCCAUAUGUAUGUAUACCAAAAAAAUAUACCUCUCGUAAGUGUAGGCUAACUUCUACUUAUAUAUAUAUAAUUAUAUAAUUAUAUAUAUAGAUUAAAAUACAUAAAUUAAUGUAUACUUAGGGUCCGUUUGUUUCGGGUGAAAAUGUUUUUCAGGAAAAUAUUUUCCUAAUUUCUCGUGUUUGGUUGCACAAAAGUUACUGAAAACAUUUUCCUAUGUAAAAUAUUUUCACUCAUCUUAUGGAAAACAACUUCCCUUCCAAACUUACUGAAGUUGUUUUCCGAAAUGCAUACAUCCCGCUUGUAGUAUGUUCCAAACUUAUUGAAAACAUCUUGUAGUAUGUUCUUUUUUUUUUUUUUUAGUGUAAACAGGAGGACUCGAACCCAAGACCUCUUUCUUACACUCCCUCCCCCGUACCACCCAACCCUCCCCCUAGUAUAUUCAAAAUAAAAAAAAACCUCAUCCUGCUCAUCCUAUGCUAGUAAUUAAUUAUGUAUAAUAGGGACAUUCUUUUCUAGAGAAACUUUCAGCAGUGAAAGUGCAAGAUAUAUGUCACAAUAAGCAUUGCAUGUGAUUGAUAUUUGACACUAAAUGGCCAACAAUUUGUUUAUUGCUUAAGGAGAUAUUUUUUAUUCAUAUAUACAUUUCCCCAAGAUUUUUUAAAGUUAAACAAUGAGAUAAAUUUUCUUAUUUUGCAUGGGAAGAAGUAUGUAGUUAUAAUGUGUAGAAAGUAAAGAUAGAGAUAAAAGUGAAAAUAUUUCAAAAGUUAAACAAACACCAGAAAAAUGAAGUAAGAAAAUAUUUUCAAUAAGCUAACCAAACACCUGAAAAUGAUGAAAGGGAAAUGAUUUUCAUGAAAAAUUACUUCCACGGAAAAUAUUUUCCCAAGGAAAACAUUUUACUUUCAACCAAACAGACCCUUAGUGCAAUCAUUUUUGCUUAGUAAUUCCCUCAUAUGUCCUUUCCCUAAUACUAGUUUUAGUGUUGUUUUUAUUACUCUGAAAAUAAUUAGUAGUAUAUUUAUUGACAAAGAUGUACAUUAAAUGUGAGCACGGCAAUGUAGGACAAUCACAGAAGAAAAAUGAACAUUAUUUUAGGAUAGAAGGAAUAACUAUUUACUGCUUUAGUAUUAUAAUAAUUCCCUCAGUUCCAUUUUAAUAGUCUUGUUUUUCAUUUUUAUCUAUCCCAAAUUAUAAUUCACUUUCUAAUUGAAAAAUAUAAUUAAUUUUUAAUUUCUUUAAAUACUCUUAUUCAACUUAUUUUGUUAUCAGUGAGCCUAACCUAUCCUAUUCAAUAAUUGCUCCAAUCGGGUCUCAGACGGAAUGGAAGAUACAACAAUCAUGAAGAUAAAAUAUUUCUUGAUACAUUUUUUAACAGGAUACCGUAUAUAUUUUAUAAAAAAUAGUUUCUACUGAGAACCAUAUACGUUUCUACUGAACGAUAUUAUAUAUUCUUCAAAAUUAUGAUUUUCCUAUUUUUGUAGCCUGAGACCACCAAAUAAGCGUGCCCGGCCCCAAAGAGGAAUGGGGAGAGGUAGGGUUUGGUUUAGACCCAUUAUUAUAUACCUUUGAGGUUUAUGUUAGCUAAUUGCUGUCCUCCUAGACAGUAGUCCAUCGUACAAACAAUUCGUUUUGACAAGAGAAUCACAGUUAAAAGUCCACCAUAUUUCUCAAUUGGUAGGAUAAUUUGUCUGGUGAGUUUGUGCAUGGACCUUUAGCAAAUGUGACCUGGAGUUUUACGAAGAAUUGUUACCUUAUUAUUGUCUGGGGCUUUGGGUGCCCGCAAACUUCUAAUUGAGUUGGCAUUGGCAAGGAUAAUGAUGGUAUUGAUGAAAAAAAUAGUUCGUGAUAUUAAUAUAAUAUGAACAGCAAGUAUUAUGAAACAUUUACUGCUUUAGCAUCUAGACUUGGCAUCGUUUACUUGGAAACGCACUUCGGCCGAAAGUAGACAAAAGCUGACCCCUUUAGGCCCCAGGAAAGGGCCCCUAAUGUAUCCACAGGCCAGGCCAGGAAAAUUAAGUGUCUUGCCGACGACAUUUGACCAUUUUCAUAUCAUGAGAAAGUUGUAAACCUUGAACUAAUGUUUAUACAAAUUUGAUCUCAGAGUGAAUAGAACAUACUACAAUAAUGGAGAUAUCCUGCAGCAGCAGCACUAAUUGCUUCGAGUUCGCUCUAGAAUAUCUUCGCCGCUUGGAUGAUACCGGCACAGGGUACAUUUAUCUUGUCUGGAAUCUGAAGAUCGGACUGAGACUAUUACAAAGCUUUGAUCGGUAUCUGACACUGUGGAGGAGGGGGAACCAUGAAACCUGUUUGGAACAAGAUGAGGAGGAGAAGGAUGUUACGUCUUCCAGAAUUCAAGAUCUGAUUAUCAAGAGAAUGCAAGAUCUUGAAUUUGUUUGCAGCGAAUGCUCGGAUCAUUCGACUCGUGUUGGAAGUGAGCUCAUCAUAUUCCUGAAGGCAAUCAAGUUGUUUUUCGAAACAGUUAUCAACGAAUCGUGCAUCAACUAUCUGCUGGACUGUUACUGGCUGCCAGAUCCAGAGCUCGUUAUUGAUUUCAUCGAUUCUGUUUCCGAGAUUCUGGAGGAAAUUAAAGAAUCCCAUUUCAAACGCCUUGACGAGCGGCUAAUGUUCUUGAAGAGUUUCAUUCGCUUUGCUAUGCUUCGCGGUGUCGAGGGUCAGCAAUUGAUAGGUCUCUUGAUUCAUACUGAAGAGGUGUCUAUGAAGGCAUUUCGCCUGGCUUCUAUAUCGUGGUCUGACUGUUUCAGAUAUAUAGUGCGGCGUGACUGUUCCGGACAUAAUCCUCCUCCUGAAGUAAAACCUCAAAUUUCACGGCUAAUAAGUGAGAAGAUUAAUCCCACUGAGCCCCAAGUGCUAGAAACUUACAUCCAUGUCUUGACUGCUUCAAAGUUAUCAAUAUCAUCAGACACUUCAGCUCUGGAGAAGAGUAAGCAAACAGUAGCUGACUUUAUGGAUCGUCUCGUUCAGACUACUAUGGAGCUACUGCAACCUUGUACUAGUACUCCAGUCCCGAUUAUGGAUCAAAUGCUCGAAAUUGUUGAGGGGCUAAGACUCCUGACAAUCCUUCUCAGGCAUCAGGAGAAGUUCAAAGAGCUAUGCCAUGAAAUGAAG
rnacentral:lncRNA from 1 species